CAGGUCAAGAGGGAAUUGAGAUAAGGGAGAAAAGGGACUGGGGGGAAUUGAGGGAAAUAAGAGAGAGAUAGAGGUGUAGAGGUAGAGAUAGAGAUAGAGAUAGAGAUAGAGGAGAAUUGGGAAGAGAAAUAGUAGAGAAGAAGAAGGGUUUGGAGAAGAACUUUUGGGGAAGAAAAUAGACUAAUUCAUUUCAUUCAUACCUUGCAAUUACAUCCUGCUAACUAUAUAUACCCCAUACAACUUGUACUGAAUUGAAAUUAAACUAUCCUAUGAGGGCUUAACAGCAAUUUGACACAAAAUGGGAAAUGUAGCCUGAUGGGUUGAAUCCGGUUGCUUGUGGGCCUCGGGUGGGCUUGUUUGGUCCGAAACUGCAUGAUAAACGGGUAAGCAGUUUGCGGGUCCGCCUACUCCGCACUAUCCACAACCGGGCGGGGCUUGGGUCUGCGUUUUACGCCCGAUCCAGUAAUCCGACCGCCCGCCACCCGCUAUCGAGUUACCUCUUCCUCCGCUCUCUUCCUCCGCCCUCCAGAUCCUGCAGAAGCCUCCGCCUAUCUACCUCGAUCCUCCCUCUUCUCCUUCGGAGCACCCAGGAUGCCCUAGUCCUCGACGGAGUUCCACCCGAGCACCUUCCCGCCGUCCCACUUGGCGCGCUUCCUCCUCUCCGACCGGCUGCCGCCCUUAUUCUCCAUCUUAACUAGUAAAACUGCUCCUUUUACUACUCUCCCAUGCUAACUCCUACUAUUACUACUAUUUCUACCAUUUAUUCUUCAGGGUUGUUAUACAGUGCUGAUGAGUAGUCGAACAAACUCGUGGAUAUGAACUUUAUUAAAUGGUUAGAAUGCAUUUUGCUGCUGAUGAAUGAAUAAAGAAGUUACCCAUCAGUAGAAUUGUUCACUCAUCUGUCGGGCUAUCAUGCCCGUUAAAAUGUGCAAUGCUUGGUAAAUUGGAACGUUGGUUAUAUCUGUGUUAUAAACUAAUCUGAUAUAAUUAUUUUAUUUUCUAUUUCACUUAAAAAAGUGGAUUAGUUUUGAUUAUUCGCGUCUUAUGCUUCAUCUUAUCAUUUAAAGACCUGUGCUCGUCAAAUCUGUUUCUAUAAUACACGAAUGUGACAACCGCACGUGUUUAUUUGGGAUCUAAUCUCCUAAUCUAAAUAUUAAUAAAGGUUUAGUUCGAGUUCUAAGCUAAAUCUUUAUUAUUGUCCCCCACUUGUGCUCUUAUAUAGCUGCACCAAUGAAAAACAUGUUAUUCCAUUUUAGACAUUUAAUUACAAUCUUCAUCUCCCAAACAUUAUUAACUUUUUUGAGUAUACCGAUAGCAUACUUUACCUAGAAUAAAAUACCCCCACCUAAAUAUAUUUUAACUAAUUUAUUAUAAUAUGCACAAUAUAUAACAUUAUUUAUGGGAACAAGGCAAUCCAUCUACAAUAUCAAAUGGAGACUAAUACUUCCGAUUUUUUUUAAAGAAAAGCAUUGUAAUAUUCUAACUCGAACCAUGAUUUGGUUCCACUUUUGUAUUUAUUAUUAUCUUUUGGUCUCAUUUUCAUGGACUUUUUUUUUUAUUUAUUUUUCGUUUUGGUCCGUCUCUCGUCGAGGCCUUGUUGCCUCACCCAUAUAACUUAAUUCACUUACUUUCUGAAUGAAGCGGGUAGCGUGUUAUUUUUCUCUCAAAAAAACAAAAAACACGUCAACUCGUGAAAGAAAUACUAACAUCGUGAUGCAGCAAUCCAUUUUCAAUCGUAAAAAACGUGGCUUGGUGGGUCUAUUCACGAGAUCUGUCGAUGAGCUUAAACAUGAUCUUGAUUCCUCCGCUGCAUGUUUAUCUUAAAUAAAAUGAUAUUGACAACAUCUUGUGUGUUAUUAAGGGUUAUCAAAUGUAGAACGAAUAUGUAAAACUAAAAAUUAUAUUUUAACUGAAUCUGUACAAUUUAUUUGGGCAACGAAGAUAAAGAUUGAAAACUCAAAAAAUAAAUUCACGAUGGUCAGAUAUAUUUUAAGAUUGGUUGUGGUAUAUAUAUAUAUAUAUAUAUAUAUAUAUAUAUAUAUAUAUAUAGGUAGCAAUUUUUUCGUUUCGUUUAUUUUAUUUAGAAAUAAGCUUAGCUAGAAAUGUGAAUCAUUUAUCAUUCGAAUUUGGGUCUCGAAUACCAACCACCAAAUCUUUUUUCACUUACUCUAGAAACGGUCGGUCUUUUUGUGAUAUGAAUUGUGGAUAAGGAUUAUAGNAAACUCAAUAGUACCAAGGGCUUGGUACUAUUGAUAGUAUAGUAGCAUAAUUCUAUAUAUAUAUAUAUAUAUAAAACUUGGAAUAGAUUAAGAGGGGUUAAGUAUGGAUUAUAGCCUGUUCUCAAAACUUGUGGUUUUUGAAAAUAAAGUUUCUAACAUGAUGUUUUAAAAAAUAAUUUUAGUUUCCUCAUAAACGAAAUGCUGAGAAUAGAUUUUCUGUAGUUUUUCAAAAGUCAAAACUUGUUUUCAGAAAGUAAAAUUUUAUAGUGUCAAAAGACUUGAUAGUUUUUUUAAGAAAAGAUAGCACGCUAUCUGCUUCAUUCAUUGAAUGUAUGAACUAGGCUACAGGAGUGAGGCAACCAGUGCCUCAAGAAAAGAAACAACAAUUAAAAAAAAAAAAAGAACAAAAAGGCUUGAUAGUUAAUACUCAUGUUCGAGUUUGAAGUUUAAUUACCUCACAUCUCCAGCUACAUUUAUUUCUAAAAUAAAAGAUAAAUGAAACACGCGACUGGUGCCAUACUAUUUUUCUCUCUCUCUUAAAAAAAAAAAACUCAUUUUGUGUCAUUUGCCAAAAACUCAAUUCAUUUUCAAAAAUCAAGAGAAUGUUUUUUAGUUUUCUAUAUUCGAAUUAUUAUUCACAUGUUCCGAAAAUCAAACAUGUUUUGAUCAUUUUUUUUUUUAAGCAUAGAUCAUAUAUGUUCCUCGCAAUCUCAAAAAGAGCUUUAUAAACACAACUUAGGCCUUCAUCCGGAAAUCCAAAGGGAUCAUUAGAUUUAGGGGCUUGUUUGAUUCACCUGAGACUGUAGAAUCGAAAUAAAAUUUAUUAAUUUUGAUAGUUGUUGUUGUUGUUGUUUUUUUUUUCUUUUUUCUUUUUUGAAAAGAACACCAUAAGGCAUUUAUUUUAUAGAAUAACUGGUCGGAAACUCCUCAAACUCUGCGAAAUAAGGCCAACUAAAAGCUACCUGGAAAACAAAACCCUAUUUGGCUAGUUGGUCAACACAUUAUGAAAAUAAACUAUAUCUAAAAGACCACCCUGUAAGAAUAUUAUUAUUAGAUUCCAAAAGGCGUCGAAGCAAAGCAAUUCGCUCUGCUACUUGCAGUGAAAUUGGGAUAUGCCGGUCCUCCUAAUACAAGCAGGAACGAAUGAUAGUUGUCGAAUCUAUGUAAAUUUGAGCACUUGAUAUUAGACCAAUUAUUUAGAAGCCACUUGACUGCCUUAGUACAUGCUUGUAUCUCAACAGCAAGAGCACUUUCUGAUUCGAUGGAAGGUGCUGCGUAAUAAUAAACGACCACAUCCCCUUGGCUUCAACGACUAACUUAUUGUUUAUUUUACAUAAAUUUAAUUCUGAUUUUCAUUAUAGCCCAAUCCGAUUUUGCAUUCUGGAGUAGCCACCCAUUCUAGAAUAAACCAUUCAAAACUUUGUUUCACGAACAACUCCCCUUCUUCUCCCUUCACCACUCUCCUUUUUCUUAACCAAAACUUUCUCAAAAUCUCAAAAUUUAGAUAUUUAUUUUGAUUUUUAUCAUAAUAAUCAAUCAAGUAAAAAAUUUUUUAAGUAAUUCAUCAUUUUACUUUUUAUUUCAGUACAAUCUAACUCUUUUUUUUUUUUUUUUUUUCAAUCAUGAACCAAAAACCGCGUAAACUUUUUCAUUAACAAUAAAUUUUUGCACUAUCUAUGGAAUUGGGUGGGUGGAGCUAGUUAAACAACGUUGUCACCAGGUUGUUGUCUUAAAGAAACUUGGGUCAACAUUCCACGAACAGGACGCAACUAAAAGUACGCAGUUUUUCCAACACGUUAUUAAUUGAUUUGAUUUGAUUUGAGUUGAAUUGAAUAUUCUCUCUCUCUCUCUUUCCUUAAAAAAAACGAAUUAUUAAUUGCGGCAUCAAUAAAUCGCACGGACCCACAUGUAAUUCCCUCUCUUUUGCAUCAAAUUGAAUCCUACAUUUUGCCACUGUUUCAAAUAGGAUACAAUAUUAGGAUGAAAAACUCCAACAAAAUGUUUAUAAAAGUUACAUCUUUAUAUAUAUAAGAUAUUUAAACUUAUGUAAACUUAUGAAACUUGGUUGUUUACAGAAAAACUUUAUUUAACUUAUAUGAUCAUAGUUUAUUGAAUAACGUAACCAUUGUUAUGGGCCAACUCAUUUCAUGAAAUUUUACAGAGUAGAGUAGUUAAACGUAGGAUCCAAAUUAAAGCAAAUAUUUGUAUAAGUGAUAAUUAAUUGAAACAAGAAGCAAAGCGCAAACCGGAGAUUUUACUAUUUAGCUCUAAUUUUCUUUUGAUAAAAAAGUACAAAACUCUCCUAUGGAGCAUUUUGAAUUCGUUAUCUAAUCUAUCGGAAUUUUGAUUUUACUGUCGAUUCUUUUAAUUUGUUUAAUUUGAGUCGGCCAACGUUAUUUUGACUUUAAAUUUUGAGUGCGACAUUUAUUUUUAUAAAUUUAGAUGGCAUACUUAAUAUAAUUCUCAUAACUAUAAAUUUAUUAAAAUAAAUAAUUAGCUUAAAUUUUAAUAUCGUUUACUAAAUGAAAUCAAACAAAUUAAAAAAUUGAAUAGCUAAAUUAAAUUUUUGAUAAUUUAUGUACUUUUUUUUUUUUCGGUCUUUCCUAAAACACCGUAGACUGCACGAUCUCCCAACCGUCAGAUCACCAUCCAACGGUCACCCGCAAGGUCAGUGCCCUGUUGCUUUCGCCCUGGAUUAUCCCCGCUUUUCUUUUCCUGAUAAAGACGCGUAAAACCCCCGCGUAGAUCCUAUGCCGCGCCAGUCGAAGGAAAAUUUGUACUUCAACCAAUAGAUGUUCGCCACGUGUCCGCCUUCGCAGGCUUCUCGUGGGCGACGCGCUUGGUUUGGACCGUGGAAAAAUUACGCUAAAAAAGUAUUCUGUAUGUUCUCAUACGUAAUAGAUUUUUUUUUUUUUUUUUUUUACAUUUGGCCCUUUCAAUAAAUUUAUUUUUAUAAAUAAAUUUAUCAAAUUUAUAAUUAUAAUUUUGGUCUUAUUUUUGCAACACAGGUGUCACGUAGGGGUGGUAAUCCAGCUCGCUGUUCGCUAGCCAGUUCGUGUUCGGAUCGAAAUGAGCUCGAGAUCGAAUCGCUCGUUUAGUAAAUAAGUCGAACAUGAGCUGAAUUUUUCAACUCGUUUAAUAAAUGAGCCGAACACGAGCUGGGGUCAGCUCAUUCGUGUUCGGCUCGAUAACAGCUCAAAUACAUAUAUUUAAUUUAAUAUAAUUUAUUUAUUUAUAAUUUUUAAUAUAAAUAAAUAAUAUAUAUAUAUAUAAUAUUAUUAUUAUUUAAUUUUUAGCAAAAUAAAAUAUAUAAAUGCAAGCUUAAUUAUAAAAAGACUCGUUUAUAUGUAAAGUUCAACUAUUAGAUUAAAAUCUAAUGAAUAAGAUUUUAUAAAUUUUUAUUAUAUAUAUAUAUAUAUAUAUAUAUAUAUAUAUAUAUAUAAUAUAUAUAUAUAUAUAUAUAUAUAUAUAUAUAUUUAAUUUUUUUAAUUUAUUGUUUGUUGGCCGCUCGUGAGCCAGCUCGUGUUCGGCUCGUUAAUAACGAGCCGAACAUGAGCCGAAUUUUUCGGUCCGAUACUUAACGAGCCAGCUCGUGUUCGGCUCGUUUAUUCCCAGUUCGCCUGUGUUCGGCUUGUUUCACCCUUAGUGCCACGUAGACGCCACACGAGCAUGAGUGAAGGGGUGGAAUAAGUUGAAUAUGGUAUUUCAUUCACCGUGUCUAAACACGAAAAAAAUAUAAGAAUAAAAAAGAUGGAAUAUAAGUAUGAAUACGGUGAAUCAUUCACCGUUUUUUAACACGGUGAAUGAUUCACCAUGUUCAACUUAAUGUCUCUCCUUCGUCGGCUUAUGUGACGCUAAUGUGACACCUACGUGACGGGGAUAGGAUCAAAAUUAUAAUUAUAAAUUUUAUAAAUUAUUUAUGAAAAAAAAAAUUAACAGGCCAAAUACAAAAAAAACUCUACGUAAUAUCGCGUUUCGCAUAUCUUGAUGGGCCGAUUAGAAUAUAUUUUUUUUAUGACCCCAUCAAAAAAUACAAAAUAUAUCUCCACAUUUUUUUAUUCUGAUUUUAUUUUAUUUUAUUUAAUAGCGGUAGAGGAAUCUCGAUACAACCAAAAUAAGUCAAGCCGAAGAUGACGACUCCUCUCAAUUGCGUUUAGAAACCGAGAAAGCGAGCGCAAGACAUGUAAUAAAAAAAAAAAAAGGGAAAAAGGAAAAAAAAAAGAAAAAGAAAAAAGGAGUCCAAUUUCUCCGCCACCCGCUUUGACAACCAUGCAGCGUUUCGAAUCUCUCCCUCUCAGAGGCGAAAAACGCACCGAGCCCCCUCAACUAUAGAACACGGUAAAACAGCCACCACUCAUUUGUUUUCAUUCUUUUUUUUUUUUAAGAGAUAGGUAGCACGCUACCGCUUCGUUUAUUUCAUUUAGAAAUAAACUUAGCUGAAAAUAUGAAUCAACUAGUAUUCGAACUUGGGACCUCAGAUACCAACCACCAAACCCUUUGCCACUUGCUCUAGGGCCGGUCAGUCUCAUUUGUUUUCAUUCUUAGUAAUAAUUGUUUUUUUUUUAUUUUUUUUUGAGAGAUAGGUAGCACGCUACCCGCUUCGUUUAUUUCAUUUAGAAAUAAACUUAGCUGAAAAUGUGAAUCAACUAGGAUUCGAACUCGGGUCUCGAAUAUCAACCACCAAAUUCUUUGCCAUUUACUCUAGGGACGGUUGGUUCUCAGUAAUAAUUGUUGCCUGUAAAAUCUCCCGAACUCGGUGAUAUUGCAUAGGUACUCGUAUAAAUUUUAAAACAUCUUAUAUAUUUCUGCAAAGUUUGUUAGAACGUUUUAAAAAUACCUGUGCACUAGUCAAAAUUUAUGGUUUUCAAGUACAAAGACUAUUUGGUGCCCAUCGUAAUCAGCAAUGACCAUCAAUUGAUAUUUAAUAUAAAAAUAUUUAAAUGAUCAUUUUUUACUGGUUUAAAUUUUUAGAGUACAACGAUUGUUUCGUAUUGUUUAAUAUAGUAUAGCGAUAAAAAAUAUUAAAUAUAAAAAUAUUUAAAUAUAUCAUUUCUUAUUAGCUUAACUUUUAGAGUGGAGCGGUCGUAUUAUUUAAUAUAGUAUCAAAGCAGAAGAUUCUGAAUUCGAUUCACGUCAUGUUCCUAACAUUAUUGAUUUUUUUCUAUUUAAUUCAAGUCCAUAUUAUGGACCUAUAAAAAGCCUCGAGUACAAACUCUCGAGAGAGUGUUAAUAUAAAAAUAUUUAAACAUCGUUCUCUAAUAGCUUAAACGAAAAUAUAGCAUAGAUACUUAUAUAAAUUUUAAAAUAUUAUAUAUAUAUUUCUGUAGAGCUUAUUAGAAUGUUAUAAAGAUACCUAUAGAUUAGUCAAAAUUUAUCGUUUUCCAGUAUAAGGACUAUUUUGUCCCCAGCAUAAUCUGCAGUGACCAUAAAUUGGUAUUAAAUAUAAAUAUAUUUAAACACACCGUUCUCUACCAGGUUAAAUUUUUCGAGUAUAGCGGUUGUUUCGUAUUAUUAAACGUGAUAUAAAUAUGAGAGAGUAUUAAAUAUAAAUAUAUUUAAACACAUCAUUCUCUACUAGCUUAAGAUUUUAGAGUGCAAUGGUUGUUUCGUAUUAUUUAACAUGGUAUUAGAGUUAUUUAAUAUGGUAUUAGAGUAGAAGAUUCUAAGUUUAAGUCACGCCAGAUUUCCAGCAUCAUUAAUUUCCUACUAUUUUUCAAAUCUACGUCAUUGACCUAUAAAAAAUCUCGAGCACAGACUUAAGGGAGAAUGUUAAAUAUAAAAAUAUUUAAACACCGUAUUCUAAUAUAUAGCUUACGCUUUUAGAGUAGAACGGUUGUUUAACAAUUGAUGUAAUGAAAUCAAACUUUAUUAUUUUUUAUUUGUAAAUUAAGACUAUUUGAUCUUAAAAAAUAUUUUUUAUAUAAUAUUUUAAAUUUUAGAGAGAUAAAUAUAUAAUAUUCUAUCUGUACACUGAUACUAGUAGAAGUGUGCAUGCAAUGAACGCUUUUAUAUAAAAAACUGUUGAAUUGAGACCUCUUGUCUACUAAUAAAAAUUUGUUGAAUUGAGAUCUCGUCUACUAAUAAAAAUUUGUCAAUUUUAGUAGUUUGAUUAGUUAUUAAUGAUUAAUUAAUCUAAUUUUAUUUACUAAAAUAUAAUUAAAAUUAUCCAAUUUGAUAAAAGAAGUUGAUGGGUCUCAACCAAAGAGCCAAAAAGUUAGGAAUAUUUUUAUUAAUAAAAUUAAAAAAAUUAUAAUUGUAAAUAUAGUUUUUUUAAAAAAUUAUUUACAAAACCUAGUCUUAUGCGUUUUAAAUGCACUAUACCGUUUACUGUUUAAUAUUAUAUAGUUUUUGAAGUUCAAAUAUAAAAAAUAUAUAAAUAUAAAUUAGUAAAAGCAGUAAAUUAUUCACCAUAUAUUUUAAAGCUAAUUUUAGAAGUAAAAAUCUAGAACGUCUAUUUUGUAAUUAAAAAACUUUGGAGGAUUACUCUGCCAAAAACACCGAGGAGCCGAUUUCAGAAUGUGCUAUAGUUGAGGGAUCGUCAUGCAUUUUUUUCAACCUUUCCUCAUCUCCACACACACGCCACCGUGCGAUAUGCUUCUCCCUCUGCUUUAUAUUUCGUUCCCAUCUUAAACGUAUAUAUAAAAUAAUAAUAAUACAGUAGCGAUCGAGAGAGCGAGGGUUAUAUAUAUUUACAUUAUUAUUAUAAUAUAAUAAUAAUAAGAGCGUAGUAGAGUAGUGGGAGGAGGAGGAGGAGGAGGAGGAGGAAGAAGCGGCGGAGGAGAUGAAGUACUUGGUGGAGGUGGAGAAGGGGAGGGAGGGGGUCGAUGGUGGGCCCUCGGUGGGGCCCGUUUACCGGAGCGUCUUCGCUGAGGACGGUUUCCCGCCGCCGAUCCCCGGCCUCGAUAGUUGCUGGGAUGUUUUCCGGUAAUUUUACGCCAUUGAUCGUUUAAUCUACUGGAGUUUGUGGCAAUCUCUUACUUUUCGAGUUACUUUUUUGGCGAUCUAUUCGCGUUGGAUCAUUAGUCAUUGUGUUUAAGUUGAUUUGAGGUGAUUUGUGGCGAUUUUUGUUUGAUUUUGGCUUGUUUUAUUUUUUUAGAUCAAUUGUUGAAGUUGCCAUCUUUUUAGUUUGAAUCAAAUUAAAUUAGUUUUUUUUUCGAUUUUUUUUUUCAACAUCUGUGAUCUAGUAUGGCGGUGGAGAAGUAUCCGAAUAAUAGGAUGCUCGGUCAGCGUGAGAUUGUUGAUGGAAAGGUAUGAACUUUAUGAUCCGUGGUUAAUUACAUUUUCUAUAAGUUUAUAUUUUGUUUACACUGCUUAUUUAUUUUUAUUUAUUUUUGUUUUUUGUUUUUGAGUUCAAAUUUGUGUUGUUUUGAUGUGUACUUAAUCAGGCUGGUAAAUAUGUUUGGAAGAGUUACAAAGAAGUGCAUGAAAUUGUUAUGAAAGUUGGGGCUUCGAUUCGGAGCUGCGGAGUUGAGCAGGUAAUUAACUAAUUAGCAUGUGAGAUUAUACUGGAAAAUGUGGAGCUGUGGAUAUUUAUAUUGUUUGUGAUUUUCUGUACUAUCCACUUAAGUCGUUAUGUGCUCUUUAUUGAAUAGGUUAUGGGUUUUGAGGGGGUAUUGUGUACUUGUUUUUGCAAAGCUAGUUCAUUUAUCCUGUAUAAAUUUUAGUGUCCAUGAAUGUUGUACCAAUCACAAAUUUAUUUUGUCCAACCGACUUAGUUUGGAGAUCGUUGAACGACUAAAUCCGAUGUUUCUUUAAUAGGAAAUGCAAUUUUUGUUGAACGACUAAAAUUGUAGUCAACAAGUUACCAGUUCUACCAAAGCAGCAUACCUCACCUGCGUAUAAAUGACGAAAUCGGCCUCGCAUAUCCUCUUUUAUUUGUUCGUUUACUCGUAGAAAUAGUGGCUAAAUAGUUUAGAAAAGAAGAACACAAGUUUUAUGCAUGGUAGCUGGUUAAUAGUGGUUCAUGCUGGCUAAGUUUUGCAAAUCAAAGGGAUUGUCAUUGAAUCCUUUUUUCUUUUGGCAACUAUGCUUACUCUGUACUCAAGAUUGAGCUUCGUUUGUUCCAAUAAACACUGCAGUUAUUAGAAUCAAAAGCUCCCACUUUUGGACAAUUGGCUGUAAUUUUAAGUCUAGUCGCUUGCAUUUUCUUCACUUGUGUGGAUACUUUAUCUUUCCUGCUCCCUAUUGUUUGCUAAAAUCAUGAUUGUUCCACUGCUGAGCUUUCAUUAGUUUGUAGGCAUAGUUGGGCUCUUAAAUAGCAAAUUAGAUAAACUUUUUUGGCACUCAUUGUUGAGCUUCUGAUUGGUCCUUGGCAGGGUCGUCGUUGUGGUAUCUAUGGUGCCAAUUGUCCUGAGUGGAUGAUCAGUAUGCAGGUAUAAUCCAUUCAAAUAUCUCUUUUUUUUUUUUUUUUUUGGAACUACUUUUAUUCACAAUGCUCUUUUCGGUCAUUUUCUUCUUUUAGCAAAGUCAACUUGUGACAAGUCUUGUUAUUUCUCAUUCUUUAUCCAUAUAUUCUGCAGGCCUGUAAUGCUCAUGGGAUUUAUUGCGUUCCCUUAUAUGAUACUCUUGGUAGGUGUCUUGCUUUUAAUUGUGUGAAAUCAUUUUGGUUUAUUAUGGCUCUUUUGACAGUUUUCUCUUAUGUGCACAACAAGAUUGCUUAACUAGCACUAAUCAUAAUAUUCUUAGAACGUAACUCAAUUUUCUUCUGAAUUGAGACUACGAACUGUAACAAUUUUGUCUUGGUUCUAGGUGCUGGUGCAGUAGAAUUCAUUUUAUGUCAUGCAGAAAUUCAGAUUGCUUUCGUGGAGGAAAAAAAGAUUGGAGAGGUACAUAUCCUUGAGUUGUUUUAAAGAUGUUGAGUGGAGGGUUAUGACGGUGGUGUUGUUGUUCUCUUAUUUUUAAGAUGAUGUUGUGUACUGUUAUGGUAAAGGCUUGACAAGUGUGCCUAGUGGCUAAGGCAGCAGCCUAUGCAAUAUUUUGCAUUUUUUUCUUUUGGUUAUAGAAGGGUGAUAAAGUUGUCGUAUAUCUUGUCCCAUCCUGGCCCUACAUUACUAAGAGCCUGUUUGUCAGAAGCUGUUGUUAUAUAUUUGUGUUGGCAUUUUCUUUUUCUAGAUGAAGCAAGUAAUACCAGAUCCUUCUAUUUUACAGAUGCUGAAGACCUUCCCCAAUUCAACCAAAUUCUUGAAAAGUAAGUUGCCUGUGGCUCAUCUAGAUCCACCAUUUAAUGUAAUAUGUUCCUCAAUGUGAUCAAUAUCAUUGUUUUUUGUGCAGCAAUUGUGAGCUUUGGCAAGGUAAACACGGAACAAAGAGAAGUGGCGGAGAAACACGGUUUGGCAUUCUAUUCUUGGGAUGAUUUUUUGCAGCUGGUAAGACUUAAAUUUGAGGUCUCGUCAAUGUGAAAUGAUUUUUCAUGUCUCAAGUAUACCUUCUUGUGGUGUCGGUAGAUUAAAAAGGCAAAUAAGUAUUUGCAUUGUCCUGUGUAAGAAAUCUGCCAAUUUUCAUUUAACAGAUACCAUUUACUUGCAUCAAAAUUAUUUGACAUAAGGAAAUAACCUGCUUAUAAGACGAUACUUCUGCUCUUUGUACAGUUUGCUAUGCUAUCCAAAAUUUUAGUCCAUGUUUAAUCCUUUACUGGAAUUCUUCUAUUUUGCUGGUAAUGACAUGUAUUGUAAUCUUAAGAAGUUUGAUGGUUUCGUACUUGUAGGGAGGUAGUCAACAGUUUGAUCUUCCAGUGAAGGAAAAGGCAGAUAUAUGUACUAUAAUGUAUACUAGUGGAACAACUGGUGAUCCCAAGGGGGUAAUGAUCUCCAAUAGAAGCAUUCUCUCUCUUAUUGCUGGUGUGAAUCGACUGCUUCAUUGUGUGAAUGAACAGGUGAGUUAUGUUUAUACCUUGUCCUUUUACAGAUGUUAAUCCUAAUUGUUGUCUAACUUGCUUUUGUCCUUUUUGAUUUUUGUGCAGUUGCAUGAAUAUGAUGUUUAUAUGUCUUAUCUUCCCCUUGCGCAUAUCUUUGACCGGGUGAUUGAAGAGUUGUUCAUUUUUAAUGGUGCCUCGAUUGGAUUUUGGCGUGGGGUAAGCUUCAACCCAAAUGUACUGUUUUCUUGCUGUAUAGACAUAGGACCCUUGAUUAGUUAAAAAUUUUGUCUUCAGGAUGUUAAAUUGUUAGUUGAGGACAUUGGGGAGCUGAAACCAACGAUAUUCUGUGCUGUUCCACGUGUGCUGGAACGGAUUUAUACAGGUAUAAAGUAUGAAUUUAAUUAUACCAAACCAUCAUAAAGCGAGAUAAAUAAGUUUUGACGCAUACUAUUCCUAAAUGUGCAAACUUGCAUUAUGUGGAUAUUUUUGCCUUUAUCAUGCAUCUUCAUGGUAUUCCUCUUGAUCUCCCAACUCCGUUUCCUUUUCUUUGUUUGUCUAAAUUUCAUUCACUUACACAGUUUACAAGUCUCAUGAGGCCGUUUCCUAGUAUAAUAUAAGGCAGAGCUUUAUAGGGCAGAUUUCGGAUGCCUUGACUGAUAUAUAUGUUGGCAUUUUUGGGGGUGAUUAGUGAGGUGCUAGAGAUACCUGUUAUGACUACCAUACUUAGUCUGUCCAUUCUAGUUACUUAAUUCUUCUAGUCUGGUUGAUAAGCUAUAUGUGAUGUAUAUACAUAGACAUCUUGAUAUGUCUGCUCUGUCUACUGAGUGUAAAAUUGGUUUUUAUUUCUAUGCCCAUUCUCUGGCACCAAAUAACAUUUUAACUCAAGAACUACUAGCACUUGACAUCUUUUGGUUGGCUGCUACUUUUCAGGAUUGCAAGAUAAGAUAUCUUCUGGGGGCUUACUGAAGCAUACAUUGUUUAAUGUUGCUUACAAAUAGUAAGUUUUGUACAUACUUUAGUCUACCAUUGCGAAUUUCCGUUUUGGCAGACGCAUAUAUCUUUUGUAUCCUUGUUAUUUUAUUUCUUCCUUCCCUCGUUACAUAGUGCUGUGAAGUUAUGCAGAUGUGUAUAAGUUGUGAAGGGGGAUUCCAUGUUUUUCAGAAUUACAACUUAUUAUUCUGGAUAAUUUGUUUCCUUCUGGAAAGUUAAGCUAUUUUCAGUGAUGGCUUAUUGAUGAUCAAUAUUCUUUGCGAUUCUACAGCAAGCAAUUUAACAUGUUGAGAGGGAGUAAGCACGAGGAUGCUGGUUUUAUUGUUGAUAAAGUAGUUUUUAAUAAGGUAAUUGUAAAGUGCAGCUGUUCUUUGUCCAGAUAUUUUAUCUUCUUAUUGGUUGUCCUCCUAGUAUUUUUUUUUUUUUACUUUCUCACAUGUUUUAUUUCCACAUAAAGGUAAAAGAAGGACUAGGUGGGAAUGUUCGUCUAAUCUUAUCUGGAGCUGCCCCUCUAGCUACACAUGUUGAAGAAUUUCUACGUGUGGUGUCAUGUGCCCAUGUUCUACAAGGCUACGGUAUGCAUUGCUGCAUAGCUGCGUCGUUUGCUUUAUACUGAAUAAACUGAAAAGUUCUGUUUGAGUGCACCGUAUGUAUUGGAUUUUACUCCGUGUUUGCUCUCGUCUUGUAAAUAUUGAUUUGACUUUCUUGAUUCAUAUAAAAAAUUGAUUAAUUGAUUCCAAUCUCUUUUUAUCUUUUUAGGUCUUACGGAGACCUGUGCUGGGACCUUUGUGUCAUUGCCAAAUGAAAUGUCCAUGUUAGGAACUGUGGGCCCACCAGUACCAAAUGUUGAUGUACGCCUGGAGUCUGUUCCUGAAAUGGGGUAUGAUGCUCUUUCAGAAUCAUUCCCUCGUGGUGAAAUCUGCAUCAGAGGGGAUACCUUGUUCUCGGGAUACUAUAAGCGUGAAGAUCUCACAAAGGAGGUUCUGACUGGGGGGUGGUUCCACACUGGUAUGCCUAUUUCACUAUACAACCUUUUAUAUGAUAUUCUGUGGUAGAAAAGGGUGAAGAAAUUCAUUGAAGCCAACAACCUUUUAUUGUUGUAACUCUGUACCUAGGUUGCAUCUCUUGUUUUUCAUGAAUGUUGCUGCUUCUCAGAUCGAGUAUCUAAUGCGUCUCUGUUGAUCUUUGUUGCUAGGUGACGUUGGAGAGUGGCAGCCAGAUGGAAGUAUGAAAAUCAUUGACCGGAAGAAAAACAUUUUUAAACUUUCACAAGGAGAAUAUGUUGCAGUUGAAAAUUUGGAGAACAUUUAUGGUCUAGUACCUGCUAUAGACUCGGUAUAUCUUGUGAACCAAGAAAUUCUUUUAUAUUGUCAUUCAAAAGUCAUCUUCCAUUCUGGUUACUCUAAUGUCAUCCAUGAGUUUCUUUUCCCAUUGGUUUGAUUGCCUGACAUUAUUGUUUUCUGAACAUCUUUCACUUAGAAGAUGAUACAUAGUUUACCUACUGCUGCCGUAAUUUACAACAGACCCUACAAUGUGACCUUUUUGGUGUCCUAUCUUUGCUGUGUUGAACAGUAUGUGCUUCUGUACAUAUUGCUUGUCGGUGAUUAGAGAGGCAUUUGUUAAAUUUAAUAUGAAAAGUAUUUAAGCUUGCACGAAGAAUCUUUGAUGAAAGAAAAAUAAAAUUGUGAGACCUUAGAUAAUCCUAUAUAUAAAAUAUGAUAGGGCUAAAACUCUUAACCCAGCUAUAGCAUUUUGAGUGGUGGCUAGGUCCAAGAAGUUAAAAGAGUUAAGCGUGUCAAGUCUAGAAUAGUCCUAGGAUGGGUGACCCUCUGGGAAGCGGGGCGUCACAGAAAUCAUACUAGUAAAUAUAUAACAGUGCGUGAUAAGCACGAGAGGACAUGUAAGCUGAGCUACUGUAAGGUGAACUUGAUAUUAACUAGUACAGAAUGGGUAUUAUAGAGAUUUAAAGUUAUGGAACUCACAGAUUUUAAGUUGAAUAUUAGUUUGGUAUGGUUAGUUGUUUGGCUCAACCAUAAUAUCUGCCGGCCAAGCCGAAUGUUCUCGCAUAUUUUUGAGGUACUUGGAUGUGAAUUUAUGACUAUAAUGUUCACCUCAUACUUAAAAUCUUGUGCACGAGUUGUCUGUUAGCUCUUUUGUAAUUUCUACUGAGUUAUCAUAUCCUGCAAGAAUUACCAGCUUCCUUUAUCCUUAAUUAACAUCGUAAAGUUUGUUUGACCAAAUUUUUUCCUCAUAUUGCCUCAGAUUUGGAUCUAUGGAAAUAGUUUUGAGUCCUUCCUUGUUGCUGUAAUUAAUCCCAAUAAGCAAGCUCUCGAGUGCUGGGCUGAAGCAAAUGGAGUAAGUGGGGACUUUGCCGCACUAUGUGAGAAUCCUAAAGCAAAAGAAUUCAUUUUGGGAGAACUUUCGAAGAUCGGUAAAGAAAAGAAGGUAGGUUUUGACAAUUCCCAGUUCACUCUUUCUAUCAUUAUCGUUAAUUUUUAACCCUUCAGCAGAACUUCAUAUUAAAAUUCUUAGAUAUGUUUAUGUCACUUUUCAUGCUUUUGACAGCUUAAAGGAUUUGAGUUCAUAAAAGCUAUUCACCUUGAACCUGUACCAUUUGACAUGGAUCGCGACCUGCUUACUCCAACAUACAAAAAGAAGCGUCCGCAGCUGCUCAAGUAUUACCAGGUACCACCGCAUCACGGAUAUCCAGCGAACUUGGAAAAACAUAUUUUGCACAUCAUAUGAAAAGUUCGAUCUGAUAUUCUGCAAAACGUAUUCCCUUUUUCAAGUUCUCCGAUUACACCCAUUUGAUCCUCGACUAACUAUAUACUGUUUAAUUCACAGAAUGUCAUCGAUAACCUAUACAAAAGCGCCAAAUGAGGUAUCAGGGCAAGAAUUCCUUCGAUUCGAAAGAAGCUUCCAGCACUUGCUGCCAAGGACUCUCUGUCACUGCAUCUUACAUUCGGAACAAUCAUGAAUAGCUCUAAUGUAAAUAUCAAUAUACUACUGAGACGAGGUGGUGAAACUAAUUUUCAUUAUCGUGUUCGUGCAUAAUAUAGUACAAAGUCUUUGGCUAACAAGAUCAACAUCUUUAUUGAUACUCUGAAGGCCAUAGCUGCUUCCAAAGUGUGUGAGAUGAUUCUACCCAUUUGGUUGUUCACAAUGGAUUGAUCAAUAAUUGCUGCUCUUGGAUUUCUGUUCUCUCUAGUUUCUGUUUAGGGUCAGAUUUUCUUAUAUUUUUACUUGUUUAAGGGGUGUCAUAAGAACGAUGUAAUGCGCGCUGGAGAUGAAUUAUAGAUCUGAUUUAACAUUUAAUUUUCUUGUAUAUGGUUAGGGUAAUUGAAUGAUCUUGUCAUCCUUUUCACCUGAGAUUCUUACUGGAAAUUUCUCAAUAGUUCCCGCACCCCUCCUUUCCUAGCCUGUUUUAAUCAGAAGCAAAUUAAGCUUAUACUGAGGAUGAUCUUAUAUUGUCCCUUUUCUCUAAUAGACCUUAUUAAAAAACAUUUCAUUUGACAUGCUAUUUUUAAGUAGCUAUAGCCAAAAAAAAAAGAAAAAAGAAUAAACCCCCAAUUCUUAUUCUACACAAUUUCUUUCAUACGUGGAGACAAUAUUCUCCAAUUUCCCAAGCCUCGGUUGUUCAGUGCAAUUCUGAUAUGAUCUCCUUUUCCGAGGAUGGUUGCUCGUUCAACCGCUGUACUCUUGAUUAGAUAUUUCAUCCCUUUCAACUUUUUGAUUAUAUUAUACCCCUUUGCGGUCAAAUGUAUCCAGAUGAAUUCGAGUUGGACUAAGUCCAAAUCCAACAUUUGGCGAACUCGUAUUAGUAGUCUCAUCGAACACGGAUGUUAUUUUCCAACCCAUUUUAACACCUAAUAUAAACCAACCACCGCAAUUGUAUGAUGUCAACAUAGUCAACCGUGCUUUAUAGAUUGCGUAAUACGCUGGAAUAAUAACGCAAGAGGAUUACUCAACGGGUCAAAAAGAAGGUAUAUGCCUUUCGUAUAGUUUUAAUACAUGUAGGAAUUGAUCGUUGCAAAAUUGAUGAUUAGAGUCCAUGAUUUGAUAUUUUUAUGUUGUGCACUCAUGAGAACAUGACACCUUGCCCCUAAGAAGCAUCCGACUGAAAAAAUAAAAAUUCAAGGGAAACUAUUUACUUACAGAAACUGUAUUGGGAUUUGUUGAUAUUGGUAAGCAUGAGUUUUGAAGUAGAAGCAAGGUAUAUAUAUUAAAUAUCCCAUUAAAGUUGUGAAGAUCAUGACCAGGUGCCUUUUUGGCUGCGCGGUCGAAUUGCGCAAAAAGCACUUUUGAAAAAGCUCUGCAAAAAAUACUUUUGAAAAAGCUCUACAAGAAGAGUUUACUCUUGAGAAAGCUCUACAAGAUGUGUUUUCUCAAAAAACAGGCUCCAAAACAUUACAAUCUAUACAACACAUUAUCAUUUAAAAAAAAAUAAAAUUUAUUAUCGUACUUUCCGACCGCACACUAUACUUAUUUUUUAAAACGGAUCCCAAAUGAGACCUUAAAAUAGUGCAUAUGCUUUAUUUUUGCGCAAUUUGCACUUAAACAAACUGCGAAUUUAAGAUGGUUUAUAUCUCAGAUUUGUGGUGCCAAUUACAACACUUUAGACAUCAAAUUUGUGGCGACAGAGAGAAUAAAAUCUCGGCCGCAUCCAAUUACCAGUUCCAUCAGAAGAGAUAUAUACACAUCAUUAGACUACCACUAAUUCACAUAUUAGCCCCUUCACACCUCCAUAAAAAUAAAAAAUUAAUAUCAAAUAAAAACAAAGACAAGCAAUACAUUGCGGAAAACAACUUAAACCAGAGCUUUCCAUUCCUUGCACGGCUCAGCACUGUUAAUGGUAUCAUACAUCGAUUAGAGCCCCUCCACCAUGGGAUUUCCCGUUUAGUAAUCCACUCAAAAAGUAAAAAGAACAAAUAUAUAGCCUAGAGAAAGCUUCGUUUUUUAAAUCAUCUAGACUUGUUAUGUAAUCUUCUCAACUCGACGACUACCACGCUAAUGUUGUCUUUACUCCCGCGAGACAUCGCCAGCUCCACCAGAAGAGCGGCGGCGUCGGCAGCGGUGCGGCCGCUGACGGCGUCAGGGAACGCCGCGGCCAUCCGCCCGCUAAGACAGUUUCUUGUUAUCUUGCACGCGACUUCGUUCGACACCACGUCCCACAGCCCGUCGGUCGCCAAGAUGAGGAACUCGUCCUUGUCCGUCCGGUCCAUAACGUUGAUCUCGGGCUCGGAUAUCACGUACGGCUUGAGAUAGUAGUCGCCUGCAGAAUUAACCCCCAAAAAAGACGAUUAAUCUCAUUCUUGUUCUUUCUACUUUUACGGACACUUCUGUAAAUUGCGGCUCGGAGUAACAAAAAACACAAUCUAUGAAUGCUUAAUAUAGUUCGCAGGGAAAAUUUGUUCAGUGAUUUUUCAAAGUCUAAUUCGAUGGUUGACUCCUUUUUUACUUCAUUCGUAUAGUAGCGGUAGCACGUGUAAUGGUAAUUUAAUACAGUUGUGAGAUCAAGGCAAACUAAUAGCAACAGUGCAAUUCCAAUUAUAACACUUUCUAAUUUUUCACACGGGCGUCUAGUAAUAUACCUAUUGAUCUAGAAGUGGCUAGGACUCCGAGGACGCGAUAACCAUUCCAGUUGAUCACCCUGCCACCAGCUGCUUCCACCCUCUCCAUCUCAUCUGGUCUAUCAGGCUGCACAGGUAGAGAAUUAUCAUAAACUAUAUGUUUAUAUCAAAGGGCUAAAAUCAGAUCUAAAACAUAAGACUAAACUUGAUACAUGUAAAAGAAAGGCAUAAAAGUGACAACUCAGAAUAAACUAUGCAAGCACUCGAAGCGUCAUAUAUCUCAUCCACCGCCCUCCGUCAGUCCUCCAUCCCUUCUCACAUUUUAAUCCCAAACUUGAAGAUUUUGUCUGUAUAGAAGUUGGAAGAUUCGGAAUAAAAUGCAAGAUAGAGUGGAAAGCCGACGCUCGUCAUUUUGUUAAACACUGGGAAGAGAACGAGCUACAUAUCAUGUGACCGAUUAGUUCACCAGAGAGGGCACUAAUUUGACCUAGCAUUGUGCUAUUGUAGUUAUGUCAUUCCACUAGUUCAGAGAUAAAACGUGUUAGCAUAACAAACAAAGUCAUUCAUUAGCUGUUUUUGUUUGUUGCCAUUGAACAACUUAUAUUCAGCUUUAUACUUGGUUACACGAGGGCAGGGAUAGGCUUGUUUGUUAAGCGAGCUGAGCUUGAGCUUUAGCUCAACUGGCUUGCAUUCCAAAUAAGAAAUAAAUAGAGAAAAUAUUGCAAAUAUAUAACAGUACAGUAUCGUCACGGAAAAAAAAAAAGAAGCUAAUUUACUGCUCUUUGUUAAACCAGCCAUGACUCGACAUUGUAUGAGCUAGCUCGAACUCAGCUCCAUAAUAAGUGAGCCAGGCUUGAGCUCAUCUUAGGAAGCUCAUGGAUACCCAUAGUUGAUGAAAAUUAGGGGCCCUUUGGUCAGGCACGAAAUGGUCCCGGACCACGGGUAAUGAUUUUCAGUUCAGAAACUUCCGCAAGAUUUUGUUUGCUCAUGAGUACUGGAUAGUCUGUUUCCGCACAACUCACACCUGACCAAGAGACCAGCUCACAUGAGCGAGCUGUGCGUGCGCACGCGCGCGCUCUCUCUCUCUUUCUCUCUCAACAGCAUAUAAAAUAUAAUGUAUAAUAAUAUAGUAUAUUAUUAUACGGCAAAGGGCUUAGUGGUUGGUACUCGAGACCCAAGUUCGAAUUCUAGUUGAUUCACAUUUUCAGCUAAGUUUAUUUCUAAAUGAAAUAAACGAAGUGGGUAGCGUGCUACCUAUCUCUCAAAUAUAUAUAUAUAUAUAUAUAUAUAUAUAUAUAUAUAUAUAGUAUAGCAAGAAAAUUAGAAUUAAUUAAUUUUAUUGCUUCGUAUUUCUUAUAUUAUAUUAUUAGUCGUAUUAUGUUAUAGUACGUCAUAUAAUAUGAUCUAAAAUUACAUCCGUAUAUUGCAUUACAUUUUGUUAUAUUGCACAUUUAUUUUUACAUGCCUCAUGCAUAUAUUUAUUUUAUGUAUAUCUUAAGCAUAAUAAAAAAUAGAAGACAUUAUUAGGUGAUGACCUCACAAUUUCGAUUGGAGGUACUGAUAACCCAAUUUUCCAAGCGGCAAGGGACCACAAAACUGUUUCUAUCUACUUUUCUUGCAAACCAAACAAUACACCUCGAAAACUGUUUUCACCCUAUGCAAACCAACAACUGCCGUUUCCCUUACAACGGAAAUCCUUUUCCCCUAAAGAAGGUUUUCCAUGGCAUUACAUAGAACCAAAUAACCCUAACCCCAAAUUAAAUAAAUAGGCACAUUCUCUCCUACCUUUUUUUUUUUUUGGCUUAAUUAUAAAAACGUCGUUUGCACUUUACAAUGCGUCUCAAGUACUAUCCUGUGUAAAAAAAUUUAAACAACGGAAACCACGCACUUUAGUCUUGUGUCAAAUAGAUUCAAUAUUUAUGAGAUUUUCUUAAUUUUUGAUGAAAGUAUGAACGAUGAAAAAUAUGACAAGAUCGCUUGAUGUUAAAAACGCUUAAAUUCCUACACACGAAUGCUGUUAUAUAAUUCUCUUUUAGGUUUUGACAUCCGAAGGUGUGCCUAAAAGAGCUUAAAAAUCGUGUCAUCUCAGUAUGUCACUGUUAAAAUUAAUGAAAAAUUGUAACAGAAGGACCUAAGUUGAGACAAAACUAGAGUGCAAAGUCGACAUUGUUUAAGCCUCUCUCUCUUUUUUUUUUUCUUCUUUUCCCUCCCGAUAAUUUAGAUAAUGCUUAACAGCGAAUUUAGUUUUGCAUUUAAUGGUCAUUUUUGCUCAAAUCGCACACACAUCAUAUAGUACAUACGAUGAACACACACCAAAAAAAAAAUGUGAAUUUUUUUUAAAAAAAAAAAAGGAAAAAGUGGGGAAAAAAAUGGGAUCCCAAUGUUUGUGAGGCAAGGGGGGUGGGGUUUAGAAAGUCUUAAUUGAGGGGACUCGGGGGAGGUAGCACUUAGCAGGUGUCUAAGCCUCGCACUUCUGGGAUUAAAAAAAAAAAUAAUAAUGAAUUAUAUAUGGGUAUUGACAAGAGAAUGAGGCAAAACUUAUCCUUAAACUAGUUCAGGAGCCGUACGUGCGUCAUAGAAUUGUUUUCUACCGCUUCUUUUUCUGCUUAAAAAUUUAAACAAUCACAAUAAUAAACGGAAACAUUCUCACUUUAUGAAACGGAUGCAUACGAAAUGCAAAGGGAAAUAAAAUCAAACGCUCUUUCGAACCCCUCACGAGGACUCCAAGUAGAGAUAAGGAAUUAAUAAAUUCAAUUAAAUUAAGUUGAGGAGAAGAGGUAUACCUUGUGGUCCGAGGAGAGGGGGACGGCGACGCCGCCGCGGGAGAGCACCGCCCUCGAGUCGCCGCAGUUGGCGACGACGAUGCGCCGCGCCCCCACCACGGCCACCACCGCCGUGGAGCCCACCGUCUUCUCCGCCGCCCCCGAUCCCCCUCCCUCCGCCGCCUCCGACACCUCCCCGUCCACCCUCGCGAAGCUCGCCGCCAUCGCCGCCCUCCACCUCCCCAGCUCCUCAUCCUCCUCAUCAUCUCCCAGCGCCAUCGCCAUCGCCAUCUCCAUCUCCAUCUCCUCUUCCCCCUUCACCGGCGUCGCCCUCCGCCGCCGGCGACGCUUCGCCGCCUCCUCGGCGAGCACGACGUGCAUCCGAUCCCGGCACGCCUGAGCCACCCGCGCCCCGCCGUGACCGUCGUACACCCCGAAGAAGUCGUACCCCGCCGCCGCCUCCGGCGACCCGGCGAACCCCAGCGCCACCGUCACCGCGUCCUCCAUCUCCCUCCGCCGCCCGAUCACCGACACCUCCCCGUGCGACAGGCUUGGGAAACCUAUCCCGGCCGCCGCCGCCGCCGCCAGGAUCCCCACGGCGGGGCCCUCCCCGUCCGGAUCUGACGCCGCCGAGGUCGGCGACGACGAAGACGACGACGGCGACGAGGAGGAGGAGGAGGACGAGGACGACGACGGCGGCGGCGAAUCGGGCUUCGCCUCACGAUUCCUCAGCCGCUUAGCGGACCCCGUUAGGGCUUCCGAUUUCAUGCGGCGGAGCGCCGCCCUCCGGCGACGCGCCGACGAGGAGGACACUUUGCACGGGGCCCCCUCCAAUUCCUCGCCGCAGCAAACGGGUACGGCCCUCUCGCCCUUGUCCUCGUCCUUUUUAUUGUCACUAUCUCUCGUUUUGUUCUCCAUCGCUCCCGCUCCAGCUCCCGCUCAUCGCUUGCGUUACAAAGCGAGGAAGAGAAGAGAGGGAAUGAGGCGAGAGAACAUUAUUAAUAGAGACGCGCGCGCGCACACGCCUCUGCGAUAGGUUAGCUAGGAACGGGAGAGAGAGAGAGAGAGAGAGAGAGAGAGAGAGAGAGAGAGAGGACGACGACGACGCAGGGCGCGCGAGUAAGNACAUGCAUUGGAGUCCACGUUAGAAGAGGCAAGGAGUAACAUAUUGUGUGGCCACGCCAAGUCAUUAAUUCAUGCGGCCUGAUAAUUACUUGCAACAAUCUGGUACUUACUUAAAUAUUGCUUGUUAAAUGGUCAUAGCUCUGUUGGAUACCCAUGAUAAAUUAGUGCAAAAGUUAAAUUUGUAUCGAAUGGCGUUUGACUUAAACGAAGUAGUUUUCUGACCUUCACUUUAUCAUAUAGCACUUUAUCAUGAGUGCAAAAGCCAAAUUUGUUCUUAUGUUUUAUUGAACCUUAAUUUGCAAAUUUAGUCAUGAUACUUCAUUGAAUUCCCUCAUUUUUUAGAAAAUGCACCCUCUUUCCCUAGGCAUAAGAGGACAUAAAAUAGAUAUCUAUUAUGUCUUUAAAAUGUAUGAUAUGGGACGGGCCUAUAUUUAUGCUCGUGAUCUAAUUCUUGAUUUAUGUAAUGAAUGGGGGGAAAAAAUAAUGUUAAGUUCAUUCUUGCUAGUUUAGAGGAUUAUCCACUUUCAAUAUUUAAUUUUUUUCUAUUCUCAUCUGUGUUCAAAGGCUGCUGGAAUUAAUGUUCCUAUAUUGUUGCAUUAUUUUUUAUAGAGGUAAAUAUUUUUUUUUUUUUUUUUUUUCUUGAGAGAGAGAUAAAUAGCAUAUUUUUUAUUUUAUUUAUUUUAUUAAAAAAUAAACUUAAUUAGAAAUGUGAAUCAAUUAGAUUUCUAACUUGAAAUCUCAUAUUCAUAAAGUUAUUUGCCACUUACUGUAGGAACGAUCGGUACCUUAUUCAAAAAUUUAUUAUUUACUAUGAUAUGGUAAUAUAUCAAAAUUUUAUGGACAUGCCUAUGGAUCGAAAAGAAAACCUAAAUAUCAACAAACUAUACUAAAAGAUAUUGAUAUUGAUCUUUUUAUCUUUUUUUUUAUACUUUAUAAAAUUAACUGUUUACCACCUAAUUUAUUUUUAGGUCAAAGAAUUUUGAAACCCUGUAUGUAUAACUUUAGAAGUUGAAUCUUGAAUUUCAAACUUACUAGGUAAGUGAACGAAGAAUAAAUCUAGAUUAGUACAGAGAAUUGGUAAAGGUUCUUAAUAUAGGUGUUUUUUUUUUUUUUUUAAGUAACACUUGAGCAUUUGUUCACUAGAUGACAUUAUAAUUUUUUGUUUGGUUCUGAUAUUGCUUAUAUUUUUAGUUAUAUUGGCGAUUUGUAAAAUUUGAUCAGCAGUAAGUAUUAAAAUUAUGAUUUUAAGCAUGAAGAACAAAAAAAUCAAUUUGAGUAUAUUUAUAAAUUCAAUAUAUUUCCUUUUCUUAUAUUGCCCUAUAUAUUAUGAACUAGUGCCAUACAAACCCUUAAUCCUGGAAAUUUUGAAUAACAUGUCUAUCAAGUGUACACAUCAAAAGCAUUUAAAAUAUCUACGUACUGAUGUAAAUAAUGUGUUUGUACAAUAAAAAUUUUACCUGUCAGUUUUUCAGACUAAUAAAUAUUUAAAGCCUUUUUAAAAAAAAUAAUAAUAUUUAAAACCUUCUUAGGCUAAAAAUAUAUAAAAAAAAUUCUAUUUGCAUAUUUUAUUUUAUUAGUGAGGUCUAAGUUGUACAUCCAUUAAUUAAAAAAUUUUAAAUUUUUAUAUAAAGAAGGUUAAAUUACAGAAAUUUUUUUUUCAAUAUCCGCUUUUUCAUUUUUCUUCUCUGAUUUUUAAAAAUCUAUAUUUUUCUCUUAAAAAAUAAAAAAAUAUUCAUAGAAAAAUACGGUGUUAAUUGUAACAAUAAAAAACCAAAUUGUCCUCUCCUUAUUCGCUUCCUACCCAACUUUCCUCCAUCCGUAGCCCCUCCUCCUCCAUCCUGCUCGCCAGCUCUCUUGAUUCGAGUUGCAACUUUGCUUACUCCAUGUUCUCUUCUUGCACUAUUGCCGUCCCUUCAUUUUGGCGAUGGUGAGGAGAAGGUCGGGGUGAGCGCGAAUGAAAGGGUGUGUGAGGGCUAGGCGACGAAUGAAAGGGGGCGUGGUGGCGUGGGCGAGUAGGUUGUCAGCGAGGAAGGAGGCAACACUGCUGAGAGAAAAAGCUUAAGGAUAUUUUGAAUAUAAAAAAAUAAUAAUUCAACAUAAAUAAAAUGCUAAUGAAAUACUGACGGGGAAAAUCAAAGUGAAUAUUUAUUAUUUUUUUAAUAAAAUAAUGUUAAAUAUAAAAAUAUUUAAAAUACCGUUCUCUAAUAGCUUAAACUUUUAGAGUACAACGGUUGUUUCACAUGAUAUCAGUGCAGGAGAUUUUAAUUUCGAGUCACGUCAGACUCCUAGCAUAUUAAUUUUUUUCUAUUUAAUUUAAGCCCACGUCAUGAGCAGACUAAAAAGUCUCGAACUCAGACGUAAGGUAAAAAUGUUAAAUAUAAAUUUUUAAUUAUCAGAAAGAAAAAUAAAAAAAACGAACAUUGAUUGAAAAAUUUUAUAUAAUUUAGUCUAUAAAUAAUAAUAAUAAUAAUAAUGAUGUUAGUGAAAGAAUAUUAGUCCCUAGAUGAUUGAGACGUAAGAUUUAUAUUGUACAACCCUUAUAAAUUUAUAAAGAUCUCAUAGCUGUGGAAAUAUAGAGUUGGUUUAUGGCCGAUAUGGUGGGCAUGGUUCAGUCGAUAAUAGAGAGAGAGAGAGAGUAAGUAGAGAAGGGACACGUGGAGGGUGAAUUAGAGCAGAGUUUGGCGUAUUCUAGAAGGAGCAUGUAACAUGUGGUCUGAUUCACCCGAGUUAGUAGUACUGGGGACAGGUCUUUUUGAUUUUUCUCCUUUUUUUUUCCUGAAUUACCCUUUUGGUUUUAAUUCGAGAUUUUCAAAAUAUAUUAUUACUUUUUUGAUUCAAAAUAAAAAUUGGGAGGAGAAUCGGACAGAAAAGCAAACUCCUAAUCUUGUAGCCAAUGGUGUUCAUAAUAAUUGUUGGAUUAAUAUGACAUAAUUUGAUAACGGAGUAGCUAUAAACAUUAUUUUCUUUAUUAUAAAAAGUCUAAAAAAAUUUAAAACGGGUGGCAUAAAAUAAACCUAAAAAUUAUUAUCAGUAUAAAAGAUUAUUUUUCGCUUGCUUGGUUCGGACGUAAAAUUAUCUUUCACGAAUUUGAAAAAGAAAUAAAAUUUUUGUUUUUUUCGUUGUUUUUUUGGCAGAAAACGAAAACUCAAACUGUGUAAAAAUUUUUCAUUCAUUUUUUCUACUAAACUAAUUAAAUGUGAAAUUUUUUUUUUAACCUAACAAAUAUUAAUACAUUUUUUUUUCCUAUAAAUCAAAUACUAUAAAAUAUAAUUUUUUUAUUAAUUUUUUUCUCAAGAAAUUGUUUUUUUCGAUUUUACGUUGAACCAAAUGUACACUUAUAAUUUGUAUAUAUUAGAAAAAGUAUAUUAUUGCAUAUUUAUUCCAUUGUAGUUACAAUCAUAAUUUUAUAAAUAAUAUAAAAAAUAAAAAUAUCUUUAAAUUUCUUAAUAUUGUAUAUUAUAAAAAUAAUUUUUUUAUACUCAGUGAUUGUUGUAGCUGUUUAUGUCGAUUAAAUCUCCUAAGUCUUGAUCAAAUAAGCUUUUGCGCAUAACCCUAUCAACUUUUACCUUUUCCGAAAAAUAAAAUAAAAAAAUAUGGAAAAACUUCAAAUAUCACUGCUGUACUUUCACACUUUUUUAUUUUAAUAUUCUGUAAUUUAAAUUAUAUCAAUUUAGUACCAUAUGGUUUUAUUUUUUUUUCUUUUUAUUAUUGUUUCCACUAAUUUUUUUCGUUAAAUCAAUGAUAAAAUUAAAACUAAAAAGUACUAAAGUGAAUAUUCGAUAAAUUUAGGUGGGGUAUCUGAAAUUUUUUCUAUAUAAUUUGACGAAAUACUAACGGAGAAGCUGACGAAAAAAUAAAAUAAAAUUAUAGAACACUAAUUUGAUAUAUAUUAAAUCAUAGGAUGCUAAAGUAAGAAGUACGAUAUCACAAGGUUGGUAUUUGAAGUUUACCCAAAAAAAAAAUCUAUUCUGUCACGUCAAAACAAAUCAAACGACGUGCACCACGCACAUACGAACCCAGACCAUGGUUGGAUCUGGUGUGAUUGGAUGCUUCGGUUCGGGUUAAUUAGCUAGGCUACAGUGAUCGAUUGUCAAGAAUUAAGGAUUAAGCUUAAUACUAUUUAAUUAAAAAAUUAAUGUAAUAAUUAACAUGGUUAAGAAAUAUAUAAUUAAUCAAUACUCCUGCUUCUUGCCCUUUGGUUCGGAUGCUAUUGAGAGAUAAAAAAUUAAACGAGCUAUUUGGACGUUUCUUCAAAAACUUUUCUACUUGAAUAUCAUAUUUAUACAUGGCAAGGUAAAGAGCUCACUAAUAAAAUAAUAAUAAUAAUAAUAAUAAUAAUAAUAAUAAAGCCUCAAUCUUAGGUAAUACUUUGUUUCUAAAAUAUAAAAAAUAGUAAACGGUGGAAAUAAAUGAUUUUUUUUUAAAAAAAUCAUAAUAAUAAUAAUGACAAAGCAAGUGAUAAGCAAUGUAGUUAAGCUUUUAGUUUUUAUUUCAUUAUUACUGUAAUCUUCAUCUGAACCGGAUCCCAAUUAUAGACGCUUAAUUUAGCCGUCCAAUAUAAAAAAAUGGCAUGCAUUUGUCCAAUACAAACAAGAAUAAGGCAAUAUCCAGGAACAUUCAUUCAAGUCCCAAAAGAAAAAGUUUAGCUACUAAAUGAUAACCAUACGAAUCAAACACUAUUCUUGUUUCUGAUCACGAAAAACGAACAAUUUCGUGAGUUCUAGGACUAUUUGGUAACGCAGACCCUUCAGUGAGUGCAACUGCUUGCUCAAUCACGUAAGCUCGACAUUGCCCUGCAUCCGUGAAAUCUAACAUCCGAGAAAUUCACCGACGGUCUCUAGCGCAAGUAAUAAAACGCUUGAUGAUUGAUAUCCGAGGUUCUAAAUUUAAAUUCUCAUUGAUUCACAUUUUCAGCUAAGUUUCUCUAAAAAAAAAAAAAAAUCGAAAAAUUCUCUGGCACUUCUAAAAAUGUAUGAUUCUCUUUAGUUUUUCGCGCUUGCGAUCGAGUUUCGCCUCACACUUGGGCUGGUGGAUAGAGCAUCACAACUUUCGAUGAUAAUCAUGUGGUUAUAUUUAAAACUUGUGAGAUUAUUAUUAUCAAAACCCGCGAAAUAAGUUAGGUAUGUCGGAUAAAACGUGGACCAAGAAACAAACGGUGGAAAGGUUUAAAAGGUUGAUACAUUACGUGUCGCUCAAUUGCCAUGAUCGAUGACUCGGUUCCUUAAUUAAUGAGUUCGUGAUCUAUAAAAGCAAUUAAUUGAGGAGCUAUAAUAAUGGUUGCGAAGAGAGGAGGCUCAAGUACUGAGUGAGUUUUAAGAAAUAGAGAUGGGUAAUUACUUAUAUAUAAUAUUCUCGAGAGAAAUGCUUGUAAAAUGUUAUUUUCCGAUUGAUUUAAAUUUUUUAGACAUAAAUAGUUAUAAUUUCAUAAGGUAUCAACACAAAACGUAAUGAGCGUAAAAUUAUGCGAUUCUUUGUGAUCUAUACAUAUUUCAAAAAAUCUUUAUAUAAUAAUAAUAAUAAUAAUAAUCUAUAAUAAAGUAGAUAGUUUAGUUUAACUCUUGUGAUUUAGCGCAUUUUCUUUCGAUAUCCUAUAUAUAGUUCUAAAAGUUACACUUUAAUUGCUCUAUUGUUUUAUAAAUUUUCUUCUCUCAAAGAUUUUUUAUUAAACAUCAUAGAAAAAUCAUAAAAUAAUAUAUUGCAAAAAAAAAUUUAUUAUUCUCAACAGUGAUACAAAAAUAUAACUGCAAAUUAAGUUAUGCGUGACACAGACUACAAAAUAGACUACAUAUAUAUACAGCAAGGGAGACAAAUUUAAGUUGUACCCCUAUACAUUCAAGUUAAAAAAAAUGCAAACUCCAAAAUGACUCGGAGGUGUGUCGAAACUCGCGAGUUUUGGAGACCAAAAAGUAAGUGUGGUCACCGACCGUCUCUAGAGUAAGUGGUAAAGAAUUUGAUGGUUGGUACUCGAGAUCCAAGUUCGAGUUCUAAUUGAUUCACAUUGCAAACUAAGUUUAUUUUUAAAGGAAAUAAACGAAACGGAUAACGUGCUUUCUAUCUCUCAAAAAAAAAAAAAGUGCGGUCACUUGCGAGCCAUGACCCUUUUCUUUUUUUUUUAUUUUUAAAAUUUUUUUGUCAUUUUUUAUUUUUGGUUUUUUUAAAAUUUAUGUAGGUGAGGCCACGUUAGGGCAUUGGUGGUAACACCUCCCCCUGCUACGUUACGUAGAGAGGUGGUACGUAGCUUCUACGUGGAACCAUAGCGGACGUUAUUUUUAAAGGGGUGGGACUUUUAAUUUGUACCCGUUUUAAUUAAUUUGUCGCUCACGACUCACGAGCAUGCAUUUGGAGGAAUUAUUGCAUGCCUACUACGAGUAUGCUCGCUCGUUAGAUUUUUUUUUUUUAAUUAUUAUAUUAUGCUAUAUUAUUUGUUUGAAAGGUAGAUAUUUGAAUUUAAAAUGAAUGAAAUGGAAUGAUACAUUAAUUAAUAAAUAAAUGGACAAUGCUCGCAUAUAUAUAUAGAGCAGUGGACACGAUUAGUAAACACCGUGGAGUUUGGCACUAAUUAAUUUGUCCCAUACCGAUCAUGUCUAGAGCAAGUGGCAAAAGCUUGAUGGAUGGUAUUUGAGAUCCAAGUUCGAAUUCUAAUUGAUUCAUAUUUCCAGCUAAGUUUAUUUCUAAAUGAAAUAAACGAAAUGGAUAGCAUGCUACUUAUUUCCAAAAAAAAAAAAAAAAAUUUAUCCCAUAAAAUUUAUUUAUUAUAAUAAUCACUGCCAUAGCUGUUAAUUGUUGAUUGUUAUUCGAAAACGCUGUCGAGCACUAAAACAUCUAUAUGUAUAUUUCAAAAUUUGGGAUUGGACUCUUUUUUGAUUUUGGGUUUGGGGAGAGAGAGCCUGAAGAAAUGUUCGCGCGCACGCGGAAAAAAAAGAAAAAAAAAAAAAAACCUAGGGCUCUCUCUCUCUCUUCUCUAAAAAAGAAUACAUUCAAUUAGUCUACUUAAUUAAUCACGAGAACUCAUGCUUUAAAUUAUUUUAGCCUUGUAUCAGACUAAAUGCUUGCUUGGAGCGGCUUUUAGGAUUGAGUGGGUGUUUGGUUGUAUAGUAUAAUCUAAUGGUUGAAAAUGAUCCGAGAAGUAGAUCUAACGGUAAAAAACUUACAAGCAUCAAAUGCUUAGUGCUUUUAUAAGCACCAUAGCUAGACUGAUAUAGAAUUGAGCUCCUAUACUUUUAAAAGCACCAAGUUAUUGAUGCUUGUAGAUUUUUAGCCGUUGGAUUAAGAGAUAUGCGGUUAGGAUGAUAUGGGCCUCCUAGGGUUGAGUGGGUGUUUGGUUGAAUAGUAUAAUCUAAUGAUUGAAAAUGAUUCGAGGAGUAGAUCUAACGGUAAAAAACUUACAAGCAACAAGUGCUUGGUGCUUUUAUAAGCACCAUAGCUAGACUCUCUCUCUCUCUAUAUAUAUAGUCCAUCUACUAUCCUAUUAAUAGGAUUGAGGAUAUUGUCCUAUCAAGUCGUUUUGAAUGAUCGAAACUUCAAAUUAAUAAUCGGUAUUAUUGAAAUUGAUCUACGCAAUUAGAAAUCUUUAGAAACCAAAUUUUGUAAUAUUUAAAAAUCAUAAUCAAGUUCAUCGAAGAGUUGAAAAAAAUAAACGGCCAUAAAUGAAUAACCUUCUUAAAAUAUAAAUUAGACUUUCUCAAUUCAUAAUCAGAGUCAUCAAACAUUAUCUAGAAUUUUCUAUAAAAAAUUCAAGCAAUUUAGAUCUUGUGUAUUAUUAGGAGUACGUAGGCCUUCGUGCUCCUAAGUUGUUUCUGAUGAUACAUAACAAAUUUCAAAUUAAAGCUUUAAUUUUGAGCUUUUUGUUGCAGCAGCAGCAGAAAGCAACUAAAAUAACGAUUUCAUCGAAAGAUUUUAGCAGACCUCAAUAAGUAUUUUUUUUUUGGAAAAGCUAAAUGCGGCAGAAGAGGGGGUAAAAUUUUGAAUUAUUAAAGAAAUUAGGAAAUGCAGUUUUAUUUUCUCAUAGAGAUGUUUGUAGGUUAUACAUUCGCGAACUCAAGUCUCUUUUGAUCCAAUAACCUUAUUUACGCAUUUUAUUUGCAUUAUUCCUUAACUAGCAUGAUUUCUAUUUUGUUAUCUUAGACAAAAAUGAUGUUUAUUCUUAUGCAUAAGUUUUGCAGUAGAGUUUAAUGCUAUAUAUAUAUAUAUAUAUAUAGAGAGAGAGAAUAUAUAUGACUGAACACUUAUUAUCAGUAAAAACCUUAUUUGCUAUCAAGUUUUUAAUCCUUGGAUAAAAUUUAGUGUCAGAUGAUAUUAUCGUUAGAGUUGAGUGGUCUCCACUGGGUUACAGUAUUAAUUCAAUAUUAGAAAUAGAUGAAAAAAUUAAUCCAAAGGCUAAAAAACUGGUAGCAACAAUGGAAUUUGCUACUAAUAGUAGCCCAGUCCAACUCAUAUAUAUAUAUAUAUAAUAUAUAUAAUAUAUAUAUAUAUAUAUAUAUAUAUAUAUAAUAUAUAUAUAUAAUAUAGGGGUCCGGCUACUAUACUAUUAGAGUAAGAUCGCCUCGUACUCAUAAGUUGUUUUUCGAUGAAGAGCUUUCCGAAUGACGAUUCACACCAUAAACGUUUUAUCUACAGCAUUUAAACUUCUAGAAAUUAAAUUUAUAUAAUUUUCGACAUCAUUACCUUACGAUCAAGAGCACAAUUUGACAAUUUUAACGGCCGGUAUGGGAUACUUGCUAGUUAGGGUGAAAAGAAUCCGGAAUUUAUUGAAGUUUUGAUAGAAAAUUCUAUCCAUUACAUAGAUAAAGACAAUAUUCCGAUCUGAAUCGAAGGAUCCGAUCAUCUUUUUAGAACGUCGUUCGAUUUUGACCGUUCAUUUAUGUCCACUUCAUAGACUUUAUAUGAUUUCAAAAAAUUUACAAAUUUAUUUUCUAGAAGUUUUCAAAUACUCUAGAUCAUAUUUAAUGAGUGAUGUUCGAUUCGGGAAGCUCCAUCAUUGAAAACAACUUAUGAGUACGAGGACUCCAAUACUCAUAAUAGUAUAGUAGCCAUGGCCUAUAUAUAUAUAUAUAUAUAGAGUUCAUCUACUAUCCUAUUAAUAGGAUUGAGGACAUUGUUGAUAGAUUUGAAUGAUCGGAAUUUUAAAUUGAUAAUCGGCACUGUUGAAAUUGAUCUACACAAUUAGAAAUAUUUAGAAACCAAAUUUUAUAAUAUUUAAAAAAUAUUAUUAAGUUUAUCUUAAGAGUUGAAAAAUGAACGGUCAUAAAUGAAUAACCUUCUUAAAAUAGAUAUUAGACUUUCUCAAUUCAUAAUCAGAGUUAUCAAACAUUACCUAAAUAGUAUAAAGAAUUUUCUGCCAAAAUUUCAAGCAAUUUGGAUUACUCUACACUGUUAAACAAGUAAACGGCUCAUACAGGCCAUCAAAAAUUGUCGAUUUUACGACACUUUGAUCACCAUGUAAAUAAUUUUUAAAAUUUAUAAAAUUUAGUUUCUAAAUAUUUCAAAUACUCUAAAUCAACUUCAACGGUUCCGAUCAUCGAUUCGGAAUCUCUAUGAUCAAGAAUAAUUUGAUAGGACAAGUGCAACUAUCCUAUUAGUAGGAUAGUAGCCCUAGCCAUAUAUAUAUAUAUAUAUAUAUAUAUAUAUAGAGUCCGGCUACUAUACUAUCGGUAGCACGAGGCCUCCCGUGCUACCAAGUUGUUUUCGAUGAUGCGGCUUCCAAAUCGACGAUCGGCUUCGUUAGACUUGAUCUACACUAUUAAAAGUAUUUGGAAACUAAAUUUCAUAAUUUUUCGAUAUCAUUUACCUAUCAAACAAAUAGUCUAAAAUUGAACGGCUGAAAAUAAAAAUCUCAUAAAAAAUGAUGAUAAAAAAUUUAAAUUCAAGAUCAGAUAUACUGAUCUUACUCUAAAUAGUGAAAAGAAUUUUCUAUAAAAUUUUCAUCAGAUUUCGAUUGUUUUACACCGUUAAACUCACAAACACGCCACAUCGGCCAUUAAAAUGGUCAAUUUUGAGAUCUUUUGAUCACUAGUCAAAUGAUGUCGAAAAAUUAUGAAAUUUAGUUUCCAAAUACGUUUAAUAGUGUAGAUCAAGUCUAACGGAGCUGAUCGUCGAUUUGGAAGCCGCAUCAUCGAAAACAACUUGGUAGCACGGGAGGUCCCGUGCUACCGAUAGUAUAGCAGCUGGACUCUAUAUAUAUAUAUAUAUAUAUAUAGAGAGAGAGAGAGAGAGAGAGAGAGAGAGAGAGAGAGAGAGAGAGAGAGAGAGAGAGUUCGGCGACUAUGCUAUUAAUAGCAUAAAGCACUUUGUUUCUACCAACUUUUCCACCGUUAGAUCUAUCCUUUUAAUUAUUUUCACCUGUUAGAUCAUAAUAUUCAACCAACCAUCCACUCAACCUUAGAAGGCUCAUAUCAUUCUAACCGCACAUCUUUUAAUCCAAUGGUCAAAAACUUGAUAGCAACAAUGACUUGGUGCUAUUAAUAGUAUAUUAGCCUAGUUUUAUAUAUAGAGUAUGGCUACUAUGCUAUUAAUAGCACGAAUAAUUUGGUGUUAUCAAAUUUUUUGCCGUUAGAUCUACCCUUUUGAGUAUAUUUCUUAUAUAUAUAUAUAUAUAUAUAUAUAUAUAUAUAUAUAAAAGAAAAGAUAUUACUGAGUAGUUCAAGUUGAAAAAGCAGUAAAUGAAAUUCUCACCAUUAUAUAUUUCUCUCGUUACUAGAAUCAAAAACACCAAUUUAUAGUUGCCUCUUUGGAUGCUCAAAAUGUUUUUAGCCAUAUUGGAAGCUUAGAAUUUUUUAUAUCAGUAUUAUUGCAUGGCUCUCAUAAUGUUGUCUAUACUUAUUUAUAUAUUAUUAAUGUCAUGGUCCCCAAUAAUAUAAGAAUUUUAAAGAAAAGUAAUAGUUGUAAACUUCAAAUUAAAGGGAGGUAGACAUCUUUAAUAUUUUGGAUUUUUAAUAUUUUCUUUGAAAAAGCUUGACAGGAUAAGGGAGGCCUUAGAUGAAGGGAUAUAAAUUUUAGAACUAAUUACAUAUAGAUCUCUACAAAUAUAAUAAAUUAUAAAUAAGGUUAAUUUAAUACAUGUCUUUGCAAAUAUAGUGAAUUGCAAAUAUAUUUCUACAAAGUGCAACUUUCAUAUGUUAUCUCUACCAAAGUCCUAAUGUUUUCAAAUAUCCCUACUGUUAGAAUCCGUUAGAAAAUUUUUGUUAAUCAUAAGUUAAAUAUUUAAAUCCCUAGUUAGUUUAUGAGAUAACUUGACAUUUUUGCCGACCUUAUAUUGUACUAUUGUGAAGAGGGACAUAUUUGUGAUGACAAAAAUGACAUUUUACUUAAAAUAUAAACAGUUCUAUAACGGCAACAAAUCAAAAGAAUAUAUUUGAAAACAUUAAAACUUUUACUGAAACAAUAUAUAUAUAUAUAUAUAACUAUAAUACUAUAUGUAUAUAGUAUACUAAUAUAAUUAUAAGAAGAAGAGAGAGAGAGAGAGAGAGAGAGAGGGAGAAGAGAGAGAGAGAGACCGCUGAUAUCUAUCAAUCAGUACCAAGGAUUCGGUGCUAUUGAGUUUUUCACCGUUAGAUUUACACCUUGAUUAUUUUUUUACCCGGUUAAAUUAUAUCUAUCAACCAACACCACUCAACCCUAUAGGGUCCACUCAUCCUAAUCACUCGUUUCUCAGUCUAAGGGCUAAAAAAUCAUAGCACCAAUAGCUUGGUGCUAUUGAUAGUAUUCCAGCCUAGUUCUCUCUCUCUCUCUCCUCUCUCUCUCUUCUCUCUCUCUCUCUCUCUAUAUAUAUAUAUAAUAUAUAAUAAUAUAGAGAGAGAGAGAGAGAGAGAGAGAGAGAAGUAGGUACUAUGCUCUCGAAGCACGGAGCCUUCCGUGCUUCCAGGUCGUUUUCGAUAUUGCGUACUUUCGAAUCUCGAUCGCUCCGUUAAACUUGAUCUAGAGUAUCGAAGUAACUUAGAAAAUAAUUUUAUAAAUUUUCUGAUAAUCAUUUCCAUAGUCAUCGAAUGGGCUCAAAAUCCAAUCGGCUUAAAAAUAAAAAUGUUACAAAACGUGAAUAAAGAACAUGUAAAAUUUUAAGAUACAAACAUAUGAUCUUGUUUUAUAUAGUAAUAGAGAUUUUUCGCUAUUCGAAAUUUCACGUGAUUGAUAUUUCUAAGCACAAAGUUAAACUUGCAAACGGCUCACCUACAGCCCUUUAAAAUAUUGAUUUUGAGCUGGCACUUCGAUCACUACAAAUAUAUCGAAGAAUUAUAAUAAAUUUCUUUCUAAGUACUGUUCAAUACUCUAGAUCAAAUUCGACAGUCGCAUCGACCGAUUCGAUAAGUCCAAACAUCGAAAAACGAUACUGGAGCAAGCGAAGGCUCCGUACUUCCAGAAAUAUAUGUGACCUCACUAUAUAUAUUAUAUAAUAUAUAUAUAUAUAGUAUUUAUUAUAUAUAUAUAUAUAUAUAUAUAUAUAUAUAUGUGAAAGUUGUACUUUAAAAAAGUAAUAUGUACAAUUUAUAUAUUUGUAGAAAUUGUAUGCAAUUAAUCAUAAAUACUAAUAUAUUUUUUGGAAAAUUUCCUUGGUGCGCCCCUCAAAACAUGUUAUUUACACGGAAACACCCUUAAAAAUUGAAUAAUAAUCUUAAAUGCCUUUCUACACAUAUAGAAAACUUUCAAAAAAUAAUCCUUUCAACAAACACCAGUUUGUUAACAAUCUAGCACGUAAUCAGCGAACCAAAAUACCCGAGAUUACUGCCUGUUUCAUAAUGCCUUUCUAAGUGUUCCAACUAUUACUAAUCGAAGGGUAAUUUCAUUCAUACCCCUGUGAAACUUGCCAAAUAUUUAAAUACUCCCUAAUAAUUUGUGAUAUAUUACAAAUAUCUUCACAAAUAGCUAAUCUUAAAUUUUAUCUCUGAAUUUUUAAAUUUUUUGAAAGAGCACUUUAAGAUAUGAUGAAUGACAACAAAUAAACGUUCAAAACUGUACCUCACUAGUAAUUAGUUAGAUAAUGAUACACAUAUUCAAUUUAAAUACAUUAAAAUAUAAUAAAUAAUCAAUUCACACUCGUUUAUUUAGACAUUUGGCACUUCUCUAACCUUCGAAUUCAUACAAAAUUAUCAGAUUAAUCUGAGUAUUUUUUAAAAAAUUUGUAUAAACCAAACUAAAUCAUUUUUAUGUAUUUCUAAAAUCUAAGUAUAUUUAUGGCUUUAUAAUUAAUGAUAAAACUUUGUAAUUUUCAGCUAUUUAUUAUUUUUCUCUCCAUUUAAAAAAAAAUUUAGAAUAAUAAUAUAUUUGAGUAAGAUAAAUCAAAUUAUUCUUAUAGAAUAUAUAAUUCUUGACAGAAAUCAAAGUGAGAACUAAACUGAAUAACUUUAAAAUUUGUAAAUCUUUUAAAUUACGGUAUUUACAAAAGUUAAAAAUUAAUUACUAAAAUUGAACGAUUUAAAAGGCAAAAUAGAAGGUAAACAUUGGUAUUUGAUUGUUGUUAACGUAGAUUUUAACGAAAAUGGUUUUGAAGGGCACCCUUGAAAGUUAUCUAAUAUUGAGAGAGGUAUUUGGAUUUUCAAUUUUAUGAUGGACAUUCUAUAUAAAUACUUACUGGUUAGGAGGGGCACACAGGAAAUUGCGCCCUAUCAUUGUUUUUUUCAAAAAACAGGAGCCGUGAAAUUGACACAGGUGGUUCCAGUAACUCCUAUCAUCAUUAAAUAAAUAAAUGAAUAAAAAAUGUGUGGUUUGAAAAAGUUAAAAGUGAUUAAAUCCAAUCAAUCAUGCGCCUCCUCCCCCCGUCCUUGGAACCAACAAUCCUCUCCUCCUAACCUUUAUAUAUUAUAAUAAGGUAAGAAUGCGCUGGCACUCGUGGGCAUGUUACGCGCAAAGGCACACCGCAUCAAUUGCUGACACAGAUAGCUACAUACACGUCAGCAUGAUCAUAGCUUCUGGAAUUUCACAUUUUAUUGCUACAAAACUGCUGUGGCCCCCACAAACCGGUGACUGAACACAAAAGCUUGUGUGUCCACAGUACCCACACGACAUUUCCUCCAUUCACAUAUACGAUUUCACAAAAAAAGAAAAACGAAAAGAAAAGUGUAGAUUAAUUGUGCCCCAAGUCACACAACAUGCAUAUGAUAAAAAACAAAAUUUUAAAAUAUAGCAUUUCUUUAAAUAUACUAGUUAUAUACUGACGUGAUAUUUUUAAUUAAUAAUAAUAUUCUUGUUGAAAUUCAUCUAUUUUAUCAAGAUCAACAGAAAAAAUAUUUUUGCUCGUAUUUUUUUUAUUCAAGAAUAGAAAUAUAAUGGACGUUUUACUGAUAUAGGAUCUGAGCGGGUAGAUGUGAACGAAUAGAUUUUUUGGCUAUUUUCGACAUGAGACGUGUGAGUCUUACUGAUAUGAAAAUUUUAUAAAAAAAAUAUAUUUUUUUUUAAUGAGCAAUUUGAUUUGAAGAUGAAUCAAGAACCCUUCGUGUGUACGUACCAUUGCUCUUUUAUUUGUUUUGUAUUCAAAUUAAUUUAUAAUACUUAAUUUUGUUGGGACGGAUUUUUUUUUGUGUUGUUAUUGUUGGCUGUUUUAUUGAAUGUUCGAUUAAGUAAUAACGAUAUUUAUUUUCAAAGAAGUUUUGAUUGUCCAAAAUUGUUGAUUUUUAACUUUUAUCUUUUAUAUCAAAUAAAAUCCUUGAAUAAAGAAUUUCUCCUAUAUUUUUUUAAAUAUCAAAAUUUUAUUUAAAAAAAUAUUAAACAAUACUAUGUUCAUACUGACCUAANNNNNNNNNNNNNNNNNNNNNNNNNAAGAUGAUUGAUUAAAGAAGGUAGCCUAAUAGGUACGUGAAGUAUACACUACAAAUUGAAAUAUACCAUCAUAGUAUAUAGUAGGUAUAUCGAUGAAAAUCACUUCACACUAUUUUUCCAAUAUAGUAAUUUUUCUUUAUAUUCAAAAAUAUGAAAUUUCAUUCUUUUAUUCGUUCAUGUAAUUUCUCACAAAAUAUCUUUUGCGUCCUAAAGAAUAAGAAUGGCGAAGUAAUGUACGAUAAACAAAUUUUAUGCAUUGAAACGUGCAAUGGACUUUAUGAUUCUUAUAGUGCUAGGGACUAUCUAAUAGGUACAGUAUGUGGCGUCUUGAAAGAACCACCCUUUUUGAAUUAUGAAUGCUGAAAGGUAUAUGAGCGUUAAUUAUAGUUUUACUAUAAGAUACUAACCUGAAAUAUUAGCAAAUAUAGUUUACGUAACAACAUUUUAUUUAUCUUUUCAUUUUUUUAUGUUUUAACAAAAGUUCAGUGACAUUCAUUUAUAUUGUGUUACCAUCUGGUUUGUUACUGUUAGAUCAUUGUUUAUUUCUCAACAGUAAAUAAGUAAAAUUAUAUUUUUGUUCUUAUAAAUAUAUCUCUCCAAAAGCCCCGACUAUUAGAAUUAUGUAGCAAUAUCCUCGUAAAAAAACAUUUUACCCAAUUAUAUAAGAGAGGUAAAAAGAUCAAUUUAACCAUUUACUAAUCAGUAUUAAGUAUUUUACUUAUGUUUAACUAUAUUUUUUAACGGAUCCUAAUAGAAGGAGUAUAUUUGAAAACAGUAGGACAUUCAUAAAGAUAAUUUUAUAGAAAAAUGCAUCUACUAUUCAAUAUGUUUAUAGAGAACUAUAUGUAAUUAUUUCUAUUUUUUAACAUAGAAUAAUAUGGGUGUGGUCAUGCAACAGCCCACAUUAUGCCCUAAAUACUAUAUAUACCUGCAUCAACAUCAAUAUUUUGAACUCUCUGAUAAAUAAAAGAAGGGUUAAUUUCAUACAGGUUCUUAUAAACAUAAUAAAUUAUAAAUAUAUCCUUAUAAGGUUCUACUUUUAUAUAUUGUCCCUACAAAAGUCCUAAUAUUUUCAAAUAUAUUUUUGCUGUUAGGAUCCGUUAGAAAAAAUUAGUUAAUCAUAGAUAAAAUACUUAACCUUAGUUAAUGAGGUGAAUUGAUAUUUUUACCUUUCUUUAAUUAACAUUUUUACCUUUCUUUAAUUAAUAGUUGGAACUUUUAGAGGGACAUAUUUGUAAUUUCAAAAGAACCAUUUCACUUAUAAAAUAAAUAGUAUUUUAACGAUAACAAAUCAGAUGAACAUAUUUAAAAUAUUAUAACUUUUGUAAGGGACAACAUGUGAAAGUUGUACUUUAUAAAAGUAUAUGUACAAUUUAUUAUAUUUGUAGAAAUCUGUAUGCAAUUAAUCAUAAUAUAUAUAUUUUUGGGAAAAUUUCCUGUGUGCCCCUCUAAAAGCAUGUAUUUACACGAACACCCCUAUAAAAAUUGAAAUAUCUUAAAUGCCUUUCUAAAUAUAGAAAACGUUCAAAAAUAUCCUUCAAAACACAGUUUUGUUAAAAUCUACAGUAACAGCAACCAAAAUACCGAAUUUACCCUUUUCAUAAUUGCCUUUCUAAAUGUUUCAACUAUUACUAAUGAAGGGUUAAUUUCAUUCAUACCCCUGUAAACGUUCAAAAUAUUAUAAAUAUCCCUAUAAAUUUGAUUAUAUUACAAAUAUCCUUACAAAUAAAGCAUAAAAUUACUUACUACAUUUGCACUUCUCUAACCUUGAUUAUAAAAUUUAUCAGAUAAUCUGAGUAUUUUUUUAAAAAAUUUGUAAACAAUACUAAAUCAUUUUAUUGUAAUUUCAAAUCUAGUAAGUAAUUUUAUGCUUUAUAAUUAAUGAUAAAACUUUGUAAUUUUUCAGCUAUUUAUUAUUUUCUCUCUCCAUUUAAAAAAAAAUUUAGAAAUAUUUAAUAAUAUUGAGUAAGAUAAAAAUAUUAUUCUUUUAGAAUAUAUAAUUCUUACAGAAAUCAAUGUGAAAAUAUAACUGAAUAACUUUUAAAUUUGUAAAACUUUUAAAUUUACGGGGUAUUUACAAAAGUUAAAAUUAUUACUAAUAAUUGGAACAUUUAAAAGGGCAAAUAUGAAAAGGGUAAAAUUGGUAUUUUGAUUGUUGUUACUGUAGAUUUUAACGAAAAUGUGUUUUGAAGGGCACCUUUGAAAGUUUUCUAUAUUUAGAGAGGUAUUUGGGAUAUUUCAAUUUUUAUAGGGACAUUCAUAUAAAUACUUACUGUUAGAGGGGCACACAGGAAAUUGUCCCUAUAUUUUUUUUUCGAAAAAACUGGAGCCGUUGAGAAAUUGACACGGUGGUCCAGUACUCUAUCAUCAUUAAAUAAAUAAAUGAAUAAAAAAUGUGGUGUUGUGAAAAAGUUAAAAGUGUAAAUAGGAACCCAACAAUCCCCUCCUCCCCCCCCCUAUAAAGCUAUUAUUAUAUUAUGAAUAGGUAAGAUGCGCUGGCACUGUGGGCAUGUACGGCAAAGGGCACACCCAUCAAUUGCUGACACAGAUAGUACAUACACGCAGCAUGAUCAUCAGCUUCUGGAAUUUCACAUUUUAUUGCUUACAAAAUGCUGUGGGCCCCCACAAACCGUGACUACACAAAGCUUGUGUGUCCACUACCCAACAACACAUUUCCUCCCAUCACACGAAUUUCACAAAAAAGAAAAGAAAAGAAAAGUGUAGAUUAAUUGUGCCCAGUCACACACAUGCAUAUGAUAAAAAACAAAAUUUUAAAAUAUACCAGUUUUUAAAUAUACUAGUUAUAUUACUGACGUGAUAUUUUUAAUUAAUAAAAUUAUUUUGUUUGAAUUCAUCUAUUUUAUCAUAAUUAACAGAAAAAUAUUUUUGCUGUAUUUUUUUUCAAGAAUAGAAAUAUAAUGGACGUUUUACUGAUGAUGAUGGCGGGGUAGAUGUGAUACAAUAGAUUUUUUUGCUAUUUUCGACAUGACGUGUGAUCUAACUGAUAAUGAAAAUUUAUAAAAAAAAAUAUAUUUUUUUUAAUGAGGCAUUUGAUUGAAGAUGAAUCAAGACCUUCGUUUGGUACGUACCAUUGCUCUUUUAUUUUUGUUUUUGUACAAAUUAAUUUUAUAUAACUUAAUUUGUUGGAGGAUUUUUUUUUUGUGUUGUUAUUGUUGGCUGUUUUAUGAUAUGUUCGAUUAAGUAAUAGACGAUAAUUUAUUUUAAAAAGUUUUGAUUGUCAAAAUUGAUUGAUUUUUUAACUUUUAUCUUUUAUUAUCAAAUAAAGAUCUUGAAUGAAAGAAUUUUGCUCCUAUAUUUUUUAAUAUUCAAAAUUUUAUUUAAAAAAUAUUAAAAACAAAUACUAUGUCAUACGUGACCUAAAUAAUUUAGUAAAUAAUAAAGAUUAUAUUUAGGAUCCUUUAGUUCAAGAACCAGAAAUGUUAUAUAUUUUAUAUCUUGAAUGGCAAAUUCGUUGCUAUCUUAUUAAGCUAUUUGAGUUGGGAGGCUGCUAAAAACUAGCUAACAAACUAUUAUUAAAGGACUACUAAUUAUUUACAAUGUAUAUAAAAAUGGGAAUAUUUUCUGGUCCAUGAUAAUUAAGUAUUGUUACCAUUGAAGAAUCUACAAUUAAUGAAUGAUAAAAUAAUUUGAAUAUUUUAAAUAAAAAAUAUGAAGAAUUAUUGAAAUAACAUUGACCAUAAAUUAAACACACCCUUAAAAUAAUACAGUGUUGCUAACAAAAUCAAAGUUAUUAUUGAUAAGAUGUCUAUAAAGUUUAAGUGUAACUUUUGUGCACCAUUCAUCCAAAAGUCUAUAUAUAUGUUUUCACUAUUCUUAUUAAUUUUUUAUUUAAUAGUAAAAUCUGAAAAUAUAUCUAUUUUUUAUUAAAUAGAUAAAGUGCAAAAUUUUAUGUCUAUAUAUAAGUAGACAGAUAGCAUUUUUCUAAAGAGCCGCUUGGUUAGAUGAUAAAUAAAUGCAGUAUAAUUAAAAAUAUAUACAGUUAAAAAUACAAUAGUUACAACUAUAUGAAUCCUGUUUGGUUGGAUGUAGUAGAAAACGUAAUUUGUUUGGUUGCAAAUAGUUGAGAAAUAAUUUUUAAAAUUUUAUUAUUUUAUAUAUAUGAUGAUGAGAUUACCUCCAAUGUAAAAAAUAUAUAUAUAUAUAAUUUUUGUUUAAAAAAUAUUGAGGUAAGUAAAGUUAAUCUCUUUAAUUACUGCAGUUGGAAUUGCGGCCCAUUUGGGUGUAAUUCGAAUUAUUACAGUUGGGCCUCCUCCUGCAAUUCCUACUGCAGUUGUUGGAGUUAAAUAUAUCAAAUCAAAUACGAAAUUUGUAUUUACUUACAGUUACAACUGUAGUGCAGUUACAACUACUAUAUACAAUCAAACGGCUUCUAAUAGUAAGAGAGAUUCGUGGUGUUGCACGAUAUUUAUUAAUUUAAUAAAAUAUACAGAGAUGGUAAUUGAAUUCAAUAAAGCUAUCAAUCAGUACUAAAAUUAAAUUUAAAAAUCUUAUUAUCUGCGCAUUUUUUUAACAUUAAAAUCACAUCCGUUAACACCAUCACCUACAAAAAUCUGGACCCUACCAACCCCCCCUUAAGUUGAACAACAACCAACAGAUGCAGCAACCUUUUCCACCAUUGUUGCCACUUGUCAACAAGUGUGAAGCUCCACAAAAGAAAAAAGAAAAAAGAAAAGAACAAAAGGAAACAAAAAAAAAAAGAAGAAAAAAGAGUAGCUUAAAAAAGGAGAUUCAUAUAAUAUAAGAUUCGCAACACGUAUUGUCCUGUAACCACGAGAAACACGAAAAGGAAAGCGUGCUAUAUCGCCCAUCCUUUCCCCCACGACUCGUAACGAAGAAGCACAUACAUUGGUUCUUUUCAUGCAUGGGACGUGGCACAAUUCAAAUUAUUUGGGUUACGUCGCAAUUAUUAGUUUUAGGAUUAAUUACAGUUUUGGUCCGCAACCGUUUUCAAACUUUAUUUUAUUAUUAUAACUUUUAACUUACUUUUUAAAAAUUUAUUAUAAUUAUAUUUUAUAAUAUAAUACUUUAAUUAUUAUUAUAUUAUCAAUUAUAAUAUUUUUAUAUUAAUAAUUUUUCGAAUUUAAAGAUAUCAAAUAAAAAUUAUAAUAAAUUAGAAUUUGAGAGGACUGGAUAUAUAAAUUUUUUCUUGUAUUAUUAUUAUUAUUAUAUGUCCCCUACGCAACACUAUCCAUUGAUACCAGGUCACGUCAAUGAAGUGGGGUUUGUAUUGUCAAUGGGGAUUUACUUUGAUAAAAAAUGAUACAUGUUAUUGUUGGACCAAUGAAAAAGGUGGUGGGGAGAUAUCGUGUCCUUGCCAUAUCUCGAUUGGGAAAAAUCAUUCACAUUCAAACAAAAAGAAUUGAAAAGAAACGUACGAAGACCCACUCAACGACUCGUGAUUUUGAUUUUGAAAGCGUUUGUGUCCCCCCUCGCCAUGAAUUGUUGACCUAUUAAAUAAAUUUUAUUUUAUUGUAUUGUAUUGGGUUAAUGUUAAAAAUAUCAAUCAAAAACAUAUAAACAUGGUAUAUAUAUAUAUUGUUGGACGAUAGUAAAGAUGUAUAAUCUACUAUUAAUAAUAUACUAUUAAGCAUGUUUGUCACUUAUCGCGUGUUUAUUGGUUCACAUGUGCUUAACGUUCUCGGCACAACUGUAAAUGAACAAUCCAAACCAUUAUUCUUUUGAGCUAAUUAUUAUUUUUAUGAUUAACAUCUUUCGCGCGCUUUGAGAUUUUUUUUCAAUUAUAAUACUAUCGAAGGUUAGUAUUUUGUUAACUCUGACAACUUCUUUUUGUUUAUAGUUAUUAGUUAAUGACUUCGUUCUAUGUUCACACGAACGAAUCGCCAAAUCUUUUAAUUAACUAUAGCUAAUGAUGGGAUAAUCGAUUAAAUUAAACAAAAUAUCUAAUACAAUACUUGUUGAUGGAGAAAGCGGAGUUAGGUAUUUUAUUUAAAAAGUGGCCAAAAACAAUUUAGGAGUUUUUUAAUUGUAUGUUCUCCAAAUGCUUGAACUAGAGCUGGAAUUGAGUUAGGCUUUAGUUCCACUUGGAACCUGGUUUAAAUUACGCGUGUAUUUUAAACCUUGAGAUCGGUCUAAAGGGGGACCAUGCAAGGUUUGAUGAAUUAAUAAAUUUUUGUACCAGAUCGAGCCGAGUCAAUCAGAGAAACGAAAAGAAUUAAUCCAUGUUUGGCCCAAAUUAUUUGCUUAUCUUGAAUUUUGAGGUAUAAUUCGAUUUGACUCGAUUAGGGACGCAAAUGGAUCCUGGUUGGUAAAGCUCCCGUCCCAAUCCGUCCGAAAUAGCAAGUGAGGACCAUCGUUUUUUGAUCUGCCAAAAAUUUGUCAGAUUUGCUCCAAAUGGAGCGGGGACCCAAAAAACAAAAAGAUAAAAAUCAAAUCUAAAUAUUUUAAAUCAAAUUUAAUAAAAUCAAUCGUCGAUUCAAAUAUCUCAUCAUCGAAAAUAGUUUGUUAGCACAGAAGCAUUUAUGCUCCUAAGAGUACAACAGGCCUAUAAUAAAGUAUAUUACUUAAGAUAAAUCCACAUUUAUUUGAAUGAGAAGCAUAAUAUGGAAACUCAGAUCAUUUGCAUUGUUGGGAAUGCUAAUGUCUUGGGUACUUAUGGUUUGCAUGUCCUUCCCCCUAGGCCCAGUAAAAUGCCCACUGAAGAAUGAAUAGAUUAUAAUGGGCCCUUUGAAUACAUUAAAUUUUUCACUCUCGGAUCCGAAAUAUAUGAACGUUACAGUGAAAAAAAUAUUUGCUCAUAAGAAACGUCCAAUUUUCAUCAACAAAAACUCUAUGCACCAGUUUGGUUCGGGGUUAAGGGGUAGAAUAAUCCCUUAACCUCGAAGUUAUCAAACACCCAAUUUGGGUUGUCGGGUUAGCUAACCCGAUCCCCAAUGGGCUAUCCCGGGAUAGCUGAUUUCGCCCCACCCCACUACUCCAACCAAACAAAAUACUAUUUAACACACUAUCCUUCUUAUCCCUCCUACUCUAACCAAACACUAUUUUACCUAUAUCUAGACUAAAUCCAAUUCUCAACCAAACAUAAAAUUACUCUAACCCACCUUAACCCUGAACUUAACUCUAUCUCUGGAAUAACAAGUUUUUACUUAACCUUGAACCAAACGGUGGCGGGACUGUUUGGUUGCACGCAUUUGCAACUGCAUUGCAGUUACAAAUGUAUGCAACCUCAAUUCAUGUGUUUGGUUUAAUGCAGUUGAGUCCAACUGCGGCAGUUGCAACUGUAUAAGAAGGUCCAAAUGCUGUAGUUGGAACUACAUCCAAAUUGGCUGUAGUUCCAACUGCAGCAAUUGAUGAGGAAUAGAAUCACCGAUAAAUUAAAAAUAAUAAAUAAAUAAAUUUUAUAUAUAUAUAAAAAUAAACAUACUUACAAAUAAACUCAUACUAAUAAAAUUUUUUAGGCGAUACAAGUUUUGUGCAAAAAAUUAAAUUUUUUUAAAUUUAUUUUAUUCAAAAUAUAAAAAAUAAUUUUUUUCUUAAAUCUUCAUAGAAUAUGAUUGUGUAAGUCAACUUAAUAAGUUUUAAUUAAUUAUAAUUAUUAAAUUUGGAAAAAAAAUGAGAGAAUCGUUUAAAUUUUUAAAGUUUGAUUUACAUGUUAAAAUUAAAUAAAUUAAAAAUUUUAAAUGUGUCAAUUGAUAAGUUGAAGAAUUAUUGAAAAAUAUAAAAAUAUUAUAUAUAUUCACUUAUUUAUUUAUAGAUAGUAAAUUUAAAUAAUUAAUAAAAUUAUACAAUUAUUUUAUGUAUAGCAAAGGUAAUCUCACCGCUCUAUCUUAAGGAUGUCAAUGGGUAUGGAUAAUUGAAAUUUUAUCCGAACCCGAACCUGAAUGAAACGAAUAUAUCCGAUGGAUAUGGAUAUGGAUAUGGAUUCGGAUAUUGACAUAAAAAAUAGAAACCCGACGAAUAUGGAUUCAGAUAUAGAUUUUGAUUGUACCCGACCCGAACCCGACCCGAACCAGAAUUUAUUUUGUAUUAUAUAUAAUAUAUAUAUAUAUAUAUAUAUAUAUAUAUAAAUUUGAUGUUAUAUUUAAAUUUAUAUUUUAAAAAUUUAGAUUUAAUAUAAUAUGUUUUGAAAUAUUGAAAAAAGAAAUAAUUAUUUUGGGUUUAAAUUUUCGGGUUCGGGUUCGGAUUCGGUUUCGGAUUUUUGGUCGGGUUCAGGUUUGUAUAUGAAUUUUUAAAAUCCGUCGGGUUCGGGUUCGAAGUCGGGUUCGAGUUUUUAAAAAUUCACCCCGAAUCCGACCCGUUGACAUCUCUACUCUAUCUAAAGAGGUGAUAAGAUUCACAAAUACAACUAUCAACUUCAAAUUACCAAACAGAAAAAAUGCAACAGCAACCGUUGUAUCUACACAAAACCAAACAAACUAUAUGUAAUUACAACUACUGAAUUUUUAACUGCAUGCAUUUUUAACUAUACUGCAUUUACGACUACAUCCAACCAAACGACCCCCGUAAGGAGCUGCUUCUAAAACAAACAAAAGCAAUGAUGCAAUGCAAUGAAUAUUAAUUCGUAUGUCCCGAGUAUCAAACAAAGUGGCUGCAAAAGGGAAGAGUUUAGAUUCCUUUCAGUGCAAACAUUGUCGUGAUAGUAUCCUUACAUUUCGUAUCAGCUUUCCCAGAAAAGAAUUUUGAUGUCACUUGGAAAUAACAAUAAAACCAAUUUGAAACUAAAAAAUUCAGGGAUUGUAUUUGAUUAUCCCUCCAACAAGUUUGCUAAUCUUUCCAACCGUCUUUUGCCGAUCUCCGUGAGGCGAGCCCUUUAGAUGAUGGAGUCGAAGAGGGUUUCGACGGCGUUAUGGGCGCCUCCACAUCGUCGUCCCAACCAUCUCCCCAAUUAUUAUCCCACAAUUCCGACAGGUCGGGUUCCUUCUUCCCCCCACUCGAAACAGGCAGAGCCAUGUCCACCUUCUGGUACGCGGAGCUGCCUUCAUGAGAGUGCGGCCUCCUCCUCCAGAACUUGAUGCACAACAAAGCCGAUCCUAUAAUUCCAACUGCAGCGAGAAACACAAAUAUCGACGCUGCACGUGUACGCCGGUUAAUAUAGCUGGACACCCUAGAUGUUUCUCUCGCAUUACCGGAGAGCGUGUUCCGCAGAUUGAGGCUGCAUUGCCCCUCCCCCGCUUUCAAUACUAUCAUGGUAUCAUUUGCACCAUCACGAAGAGAAACAUUGAUCUGCAAAAUUUAAAUCCAAAACGUAAUAUGUCAUCUAAAGGAAGUUCCUCAAAACAAUUGUGAGAAGGUUAGCAUUCAACAUAUAUUAAAAAAUGGCUGAUUCAUGCAGGAAACAAUCUUCAUUUAAGCCGAUUAAUGUCAGAAAUCUGAAUCUCAGAGAAUGGGCAAAACAGUUAGAAGCCAAACAGUUAGAAGCCUUGAUGAUGAGCCACUCAGAAACUUCAGAUGAUAUGUGAACAGUCUAAAAGACACAAAUAAAAAGGCUGCCGUAGGAUGCGGAAUGGAUGCCUUCGUUCAUUAAGUUGAUAGGAAACAUAAAUUUAUGUGGCCAAUGAGAAGAUUUUUUAGGACAACACAUAACUUUCAGAUAGUCAACUCCAAAUUUCAGAUAGUUAUGCUGUCUUGUGUACAUUUCAAUAGAAACUUCUGGCUAGCAAUCACAGAGCCAAAAUAACUGGCCGACCGUAUUAUUCAUGUGUUUGGUUGACAAAAAAAAUCCAAAGCUUCACUAAUAGAAAGCUAAAAUAUGUUUUCGAGCCCAAAAACAGAAACUCCGAGUUGAAGCAGCUUCUGAUGCAACAACCAGCUCUUCAGAAGAUUUUCAGACCAAACAGGCCUUAAGUAAUAUAGACAGAAAAGCAGCCACCAAUUUUAUGAUGCAACUAUACAUGAUGACCCAUUUAAGACUUGCAAGUAAUGAACUCCAUCUCCUAUUAAUACCUUCUUCUUCUCCUUCGCUUGAAGCUGGACUAUAGCUUGCUCUAGUGUGACAAAGUCGGGGGCAACGAUGUGAACAUCAAGAGAACCUGUUCCUCUGUUCUCUAUAAGAAGUGAAAGAUCUAGCGAAUCUGGCAGAAGAAUUGCAGGUAAUCUUAUUACGCUCAAGCAUUACAAAGAUUCAAAACAAAGCUAAAUAGAAAGAUGUACAGCUUGCAACUUUGGAAUCCAUCAUACUGCCACAUUUUAAAAUAAAGUAUAGCGAACAUAUUAAAAAUUGUUGAGUACGCAUGAGCAAGCAAGGAAGCAGAUACCAGAAGAACCACUUGAUCCACUCAAGUUGUAAUUUACAAUAGCAUUCUGCUGAAUUGAAUACAGAAGUAUUAGCUUUAGAUAUAUAUUUUGGUUAAAAUUAUUGAAAACUAGGAUUUUGACAUAAGUUUUACUUUUUUAUGGUACUAUUUCUGCUAAAACAAGAAUACCAUCUAAUUACAAGUUUACCCUCAUCAAGUCUACAACUUACAGUACCUCAAAAUUAGACAUAAAAUUGAUUUUGUAUUAUGAGAACAAUUUCAUGAGUAAUAAUUUGAUCCGAGGAUUUCCGCAAGUUCUAUCAACAAGCAAGACCUAAGCAGUGUAUAUUACCUAUGCUGAGGUUGACCACAUACUUAGUUUUCUCCAAAUCACAUUAUCUAUUAACCAAAUGCUUUUUGGCAUUCCCAAAAACAGGGACAAGGUAAUCUAGCUUAUCGAAAAGCCUUGAAUCUUGAUCCCGUACCUUGUCCGGGGACUCUUAAGCAAGCAAUGAACUUCUUCUUCUCAUCAGUGCAUCUAUUGGACGGAUCGCACUCUUCAACAUAAGAGUCCCUCAACGGCUGCGUCUUAGACGCCAAGCUCCCAUCUGAACUCCCUUCCCCAGAAUCUUCCUCAACCUUCGUCUCCUUCACCGGCUGAUCUUUCCUCUCAAGAGAACUUUCACUAGAAUCAUCCUUCUCAUCAUUUUUCUUAGUACCAUUUUGCAAUCCUUUGCCCUGUUCUAUACGCUUUUUCUCUCCUCCCGCAUCAACCGGAUCUGGCGGAGACAUCUCUGCCGCAUUGGAAUGUUUAACAAUGGUGUCAUUGUUCGUAGUUGAUGGGAAACUAUCGGAAUCACCCUGAAUUCAACAAAACUAUCAAUGCACUUUAUCCAUCUAAAACAAAAUCUACCAAUAUUUUUCUCAUUAAAAUGGAUCAACUAAGCCUCCUUCGAAUAUGAUACUUAAACAAUGCGAAUCAAAAAAAUUCCACAACCAUGUCGGUAAAGAUGCGACCUUUACUCAAUAGAAUGCAUCAUAAGCAAAUGUAAACAAAUGAGUUUUGCGUAAUUUAAUUGGCCUAAUACAAACAAAAUCCCCCCAAAACACACUGAUUCAUCACAAGAACAAGCUCGUAGAAUAUACUAAAUUCUACAAAAAAAAAAGAAAAAAGAACUAUCUCAUUGAGUAGAGAUCUAAAUUAACUAUAUAAAGAAAAACAAAUCUCACUCACCUCAGAUGCAACGAGGGGAAUCACGAGGGCGAUUAAGAAGAGGACACCGAUCCCCUUCAUCUAUUCAACUUAUUCUCGAGUAACAAGGAGGCAACGGAACUAGAGAAGCGAUCUACUUUGCUUCACAUCCGAAACCCUAAACCCCAUUCGCGACCACUUCGUUGACCUAAUCGGAGACAUCGAGAGGACGAAGAAGAAGAAGUAUAAAAAAAAAAAAAAAAAAAAAAAUGGAGUUAAAUAAUUUGCCACCCUUGCAUGGCUACAAUGUGCACAGCUCUUUCUUUACUACAAGACAAUCAUAUUUUUAANAUAAAAAAAAAAAAAAAAAAAACAAAUGGAGUGAGCCAACCGAUUUCUUGGGGAAUCGGAUUCGGAUCUACUUGUAGCUCAAGCGACGCUUCGAAUAUCAAAGUGUCGGACCGGUUCAGUAUAAAAAAAUCAGUGGAGAAUCAACCGUGACUCCGUUAAGACCAAGAGCGAGUCAAACGGGGUUAGAUAAGCCGGGUCGGAUCGGACUGGGCCAGUUGUGGUUGUUGAUCCGGCCAUAGAUUUUUUAUUUUAUUUCAUUUUAAUUCUGCGCGUACGUCCCUAUUAUCCCACUACGAGAAAACGAGCCAAACACGAAUGAGCCGGAGUAUCCCACUACGAGAAAACGAGCCAAACACGAAUGAGCCGGAGUAGCUCGUGUUCACUUGUUUUAUAAAACGAGCUGAAAGCUCGUAAAAUAUCGAGCUGAAAAAUUCAGUUUGUAUUCGACUUGUUUAUUAACGAGUUGAACCUGAGCUAACGUACAAACAGCAAGUUAGAUUACCAACCUUACUACUCGAUGAAAACUUAAAAUAAAAUUAAAAAAAUUAGAAUCUUAAUUUUAAUAAUUAAAAUUUACAAAAUAUUAGUCUCUUUUUAUUUGGAUCAGCCUAAACCCAGUAGAGAGAUCAAUUUGGGCCUAAGGAAUCUGCAAUCUAUCUGGGCCAUCAAAUUUCCAAAUAAUCAGGUUAUCCAUUUUGCGCUCAAGCUAUAGAUAGCGCACCGCUUCGCUAUUGUUGUUGGGUCAGCAAAUCUCCAACUAAUCAGGUCAUCCAUUUUGCGCCCAGGCUAUAGAUAGCGCACCGCUUGGCUAUUGUGGUUUCGCAUGCCGUUCCACGCGGAACUGCAAGAAAGAAUGGAUCCGAUAAAGCUCCGAAUCCGGCGAUGAGCGGUGGUGGGCCAAACAAGGCCUUUCUAUUGCAACUUUUGUAGCCCAUUGGGAAGAGGCCUAAUAAGUUCCAUCUAUUUUUGUGAUUAUAUAUGGCCCGUUAAACAAACGGUCUAGGGCGUGUGUUGAUGUAUUGAGAUCACUCACUACUUAUUAUUGCGAAGGCCACAAGCGCGAAAGAGAAAAGCCCAUUAGAAUUUGCCUAUGUUUUUGAGCGUGUAGGACUUGGUUGAAGCUAUUGAAGAACUAGUGUAAUAACCCGCACGAUGUGUCGAAUAAAAAUUUUUUAGUAAAAAUUUUUAGAUUAAAUGAAUAAAUAUAUAAUAUAAAAAAGAGACAAAAAUAUAUAACAACAUUUGAUUGAAUUUAAUAAUAUAAAAAAUAUAUUAAAGAUUUUAGAAUAAAAUUAUAAUUCAAUGCAAAACAAUGAAAGAUAGAAAAAACUAUAAAAGAAGAAAAAUUAUUAUAUAAAUAUCGGACCCCUUUGCACUCUUGUCUAGAGCAUUUUCUACUGACAUCGACGAUUUCAUGAGAUACCACAGUGCCUUUAACCGCUUCCCGACAACUCCGUAUUCUAGCUGAUACUUUUCGUCUUCGGGGGCCAUUACAGGAGGGGGAAGCAUCUCGAUCCUUUGUAUAACUAUACAAUACAAAUUUAGAUACAAAUAUUACACAUCUUCACCGACCGUUUCUAGAGCAAGUGGCAAAGGGUUUGGUGGUUGGUACCCGAGAUCCAAGUUUGAAUCCUAGUUGAUUCACAUUUCUAGCUAAAUUUAUUUCUAAAUGAAAUAAACGAAGCGGGUAGCAUGCUACCUAUCUCUCAAAAAAAAAAAGUACACAUCUUCUAUAUAUAUAUAAUAUAAAACCAACAACCAAAAAAAAAGUAUAUAAAGAAAAAAAAAAGUAUAUUGAUUUAGAGAGAAAAAAUAAAUAUCAUCAAAUUUUCUCAAUUAAUUAUUAAACAUAAAAAAAAAAUGGUAACGAAGAAAGAUAGUACCUAAUUGGUGCGGCCAUUGAAAUUAGUUAAUUAAGAAAAAUUUUCUACAUUGAUGAUUUUGGGUGAAGAUGGAGAGAUGGAUGGUGAUUUUUAUAUAUAAAGUAAAUUAUUUCAACAUCUUUCCAAUUUCAUCUUUUAUGGAGGGUGGACCAAAGGCCACUGAAAAAAAAAAAAGAAGAAGUAAAUAUGAAUAAAUACAAUGGAAAGCGAAGAGCCAUUAAAAAAAACAGACUAAAUACAGUUUUUUAGAGUAGAAUAAAUAGUUUAGGGCCCAUUUUCUUUAAAUUAAGGAGGUGCAUCCACAUAAAAUUUAGAUAUGAGAAUUUAUGUAUAGGUAUGAAUAUAAAUUGCUAUUUAAGAAGAGCUGUUUAAAAAAAUACCAGUAAUUUUUAAACUCCCGCCUACAACUUUUCGCGGUAGCAAAAAAUUCUUUUGGUGGGUUAGCUUUUAGGGCUCAGUAGUUGUUUCAUAGAUAUCAAAAACGUAAAAUUUAUUCCUACAUCGAGAUCGGGGAAUCUUCAUGCAUCGUUCGGAGCUGACAACUCAAUCUCAAUGGGCCUAUUUCGAUGCCCAAAUUUUUUGUUUAGGGCAUCUCUUUAUUUACUUAAAAUUUUUAAAAAUUAGUUGACGAGAAAUAAAAUCAAAUGACCAUAAAUGCGUAGUUGCAUAAGAAGAUAUAAACUAGAGAUUGUAAAGUCAUAGCCAUAAUAAGUAUAUUGAUGCGGACUAAAAUUAAAUUCAUAGGACACUGCAACGACCCGCAGAAGAAAAAAAAUACAAUAUUGUGAAAAACAAGACAUCGAACAAUUCCGGUCGGUUAUUUUACACAAUAUCAGCGUAGGUGAAUCUAAUUUUCAGAAGCAUUUCAAAGGAACAUCGAUUUGUCGGCAAUAUAAGAUUACGGAGAUCCAAUCAAAGGCAAUGGCGCUACACUAUCGUUGACAAAACCCGUCACUUAAGACGUUUACAAAAGGCGCUUUGAAAGGGAGCGCUUUUGUUCGACACUGAUUAAUAAGCUCAAAAAAACGGCCGGUCAACGGUCGCAAAUAUGGGUUUCUAAAAUUGAGUCUAAUUCGUGUUAAUUACGUGUAAUGUAGUUGGCGCUAUCCGGGGUCAAAGGGAAACGUUCGAGCAGUGGCGAGGCGACACGUGUCCCCCGUGGUUCACGCCCCCGCCGCUGCGCGACGCGGUGGGCCCGGUUUUUGUGAAGUCAAAUGUCCCCCCAAGCUCACGUGGGCGGUGGUCCACUAUCCAAUGGUAGUAGUACAUGUGGCAAUACUGGUCCCAAGCUCACGGAGCUUCUCGAACAUGGGGCCCACUCUUUCUAACUCUACUAUAUCAUAUUUAUAUUAUAUUAUUAUAAUAAUUAGUUAAUUAUAUAUAUAUUUUUUUAAAAGUAUUUUAAAAAUAUAUUUUUAAUAAUUAUGAUGGGACAGAUGAGCUCUAAAAAAAAAAAAAAUCUAAUUGGCUAGGGACGCCACAUUAAUAAUAUAAUUGAUAAAUUUUAGACUUUUUCAUCUGCAUAGACACUCUGCAAUUAAAAAUAACUUUUUUUUAAAAAAAAAAGAGUAAAAUAACAUACUAUAUAUUUUGUUUUUUUUGUAUAAAAAGUAAAUUUAAUUAGAAAUAUAAAAUAAUUAGUUUUCAGACUUAAAAUUUUGAUUAUUAAUAAUUAAAUUUUUUGCCACUUACAGCACAGACCGGUCGGUAAAGUUAUAGUAAUUAAAAGUCAAACAAUCUAAUUCGUGAGUAGGAGAAUGUGCAAGAAAUUUACGGGUUGGCAUUUAAAUUUGCAUCCAAGGAUGAAAAUGAAACAUAAAUUUUCAUUACUCUCAAGAGCAGAAUACAAAAUAGUUCCUAUCUCUAUGAAAAUUCUAACUUCUAAAUUCGUUCGAUACUCUACUCUAAAUUCGCAAAAAAAUUAUAAAUAUAUUUAGAUGACUGAAUUGAACAAGCCCGUCAAUACGCGAUUAGGUUUGUAUAAUUGAGGCCUCCACUGGAUUUGUACUGGCGUGUUAUGUGGGUCAUAGACCGUAGCUUUCAAAGAAAUCGUCGAAAAGUUCAUCAUUAAUCACCUUUCCUUCAAAUUUUGUUAGGCCCCAAUAUAAAUCGACCACUUUGACCUAAUUUCUAUACUUGUGUUAUAGCAAAAUGCUGAAAUGAGCCUUUUAUGCUAUGGAAUAUAAAAUAUUAAAAAUAUUGUCUUAUGAUAUCUUAAGUUUUUGAAUGAUAAUGCAUAAUGGUUCUAAUUUCGAGUGUUCUAGACAACUUUAUGUAAUUUCAGGGGUCUAUUCCUUGUGUGAACAAAUGAAGAUAUUAUUCAAAAUAGCCGAAUCAUUUGAUUAUUAUUAAGGGUCCGUUUGGCAUUAAGGAUCACCCAACGUUAGUAAGAAAAAUCAAAGUUAGGAUAGAAGCAUAUAGAAAAUGUUUCUCUACUUUUCGAUAGGAUUGCAGAAAAUAUAUUAUAACUACAAUGACCCGACUUCCCAGGGGGUCAUCCAUCCUAGGACUACUCCUCUCCUAGCACGCUUAACUCUCUUAACCUCUUGGGUCUUGUCACCACCCAAAAUGCUUAAGCCAGGUUAAGAGUUUAGCUCUAUUAUAUCUUAUAUAUAGGACUAUCUGGGGUCUCACAAUCUCCCCUCCUUUAAGCCCUGACGUCCUCGUCAGGCUCAGACUCAUAAGUACCAGACGAUGUGAGACUCGUUUUGCUAGCCCGUCAUCCAGACCCUCGCUCAGCCGAGACUCAUCUCACACUUCCGGCUGGUAAUUGGCUCUGAUACCAUCUUUGACGCCCCGACUUCCCAGGAGGUCACCCAUCCUAGGACUACUCCUCUCCUAGCACGCUUAACUCUCUUAACCUCUUGGGUCUUGCUACCAUCUAAAAUGCUUAAGCCGAGGUUAAGAGUUUAGCCCUAUUAUAUCUUAUAUAUAGGACUAUCUGGGGUCUCACAAGAACAGACUUAUUGCAAUGUACGAAAUAUGAGAUUACUGUAUAAAUAAUUAGAAUGUAUUUUAAUAUUAUACUUUUUUAUCAUACAUAACGCAAUUUCCAUGUAAUAUCAAAUGUACCCUUGCUGAUAGAUACAUUGAAAGUGACUGUGUAACAUUCACAUAUAUAAUUGGUUCUGUGGCAUGACUAAGUGGCACCCUGUGUAUGGAUUAGCUUUAAGUAUUUUAUGCACACUUUACCUAACAUAAUUUGAUUCAAAAGAUACAAAAUUGACUCAUCAAUAAGGUACAAGAAAUAAUUCAACUCUUUUACAUCACUAUUUAUACAUUCUUGGAUUUCAUGACCCUACAUUCAAAGCAAACAUGGUCUAACCGACCUUGAAAAAUCUUAUUUGAUUGAUUGGUAAACAUUUUGAGGGAUCUCUAAUCAUAGUAGUACAUACAUAUAUGUAGCCCAGCAUAUGCUGUAUUUCUAUUAAUUGUCAAAAGAAAUUAAUAAUGUGAAAAGAAAUUUGUUUCUCAACGUGUUGGGAGAGCUUAGGUUUUUACUUUCUUUUUCUUUUUUUAACCCCUAAGAUAUGAUAGAAUAUUCCCUCCUAAAUUAUUUAGGCCAUGUUUGGAUGCAGAAAUAAGUGUAUGAGAAUUUUAUUAUAGCAUGAUUAUAAACAAGAAGUUUGGCUUUUUGCUUCUUCAGAGUUGCGCGAUUUAUGAUUUUGUAGAAUAAUAUAUUUCACCUACAAGAUAAUUUAUAUUAUUCUGAAAACAUGACUUUAAAUCUGAAUAUUAUAUAAGAUAAUAUUUAAUAUUUGACCAUACUCUGCAUCAAUCAAAUAUAUANAUUUUAAUAAAUUAAACAGAUAUGCCAAAUAAGAUUUUGAUGCAUCCAAAACAAGAACCUUAUUAUUGUAAAAAUCAUUUCAACCAAUUGAACUGUGAAUCAGCUCUUACAGUAGUCAAUGAAUAUUUGGUAGCUGGUGAAAGAGAUCCCAAGUAUGUGUUUAUAUAAAUAGUGCUGUUUUUAGAAAAUAUAGUAAAUCACACAAUAUGUGACAUUAAUGCAAUUCAAACCACAAAGUACAUAGUUCAUCAAUUCAUUGUUGCAAUAUCUAAUAUUCCAAAUCUACAAAUUAAAUCUGUUUCACCCAUUUGGCCUCUAGAGCUACUAUAUAUUACUAGUCAAGGCUAAGGGUUAGCAUGAGCAAAGCAUUAAUACGCAAUUUAUAGGUGAUUACCAACCUCUCAUUAUUAAUUUGUAAUGUUGAUAAUCUAAAUCGACGGCGAUUUAUGAUGUCUAUAUAUACCAUUGAAUAGUUGCAGUGGAACCUAAAUUCAUCUAUAUCUUUGAUUUCUACUAAAAAUUUGUUAUAGCUAAUCAAUGCUACACCCAAGUGCUAUGUCUACCCUUUUUUGAAAGCACACGCAUGGAGAUUUGGAAUGUAAAUAAUGGUUGUUCCAUUGGCUAGAAAUUUUCAUUAAUUACUUAAUUUAUUACGACAUGCGAGUAGUAAUAAUUGAAUUUGAACUAUCAUUAUCGUAUGCAACGCAAAAUCACUCACAGCAUCGCAACUGCCUACGUAGCUCAAAAUCACUACUUUUCGUGCUAUCACUUGUGCAGCUUUGUGCUACUGUAUGAACUACGUAAAGAACGAUUAUUUCAUCAAACAAAAAGGACCUUUGAACAU
rnacentral:lncRNA from 1 species